UGCGCAGCUCUCUUUGCUGCGCCCCUCCGCGUGGUCUGUGUUGGAGCAUUUUGGUCUAGUCAGGCUGGGUGUGGUCGGCCUCAUUUUGGAUUACUUCGGUGUGCUUCUCCUCGGCGUGGUUACGGUCUUGUACACCUUAGUGUGCUUUUCUCAGCGUGGUCCUUCCCAGCGUGGCUCGUCUCGGCGUGGUUUUCAUCAGCGUGAUCGUUCUCUGCGCGGUUUUUCACGGUGAGGUCAUAGCAGCCAGCCAUCCGCCUCAGCGUAUUUGUUCACAAUUCUUUUGGAUCUGCCUCUGCUCGGAUCACUUGAGCGCUGCGUCUCAGUCCCGAUCAGCCAUCCUCAGUGUGAUUUGCUCAACGCGAUCCUCCUCAGUGUUUCUUCGGAGCCUAGACCUCCACGGCGAGGUCGUCUCUUGUUUUGUCAUGGUGGUUGGCACUAUGGUCCGGUCUGCCUCAGCAAUCGGCUCACUUACGUGUGGAUCUUUUCAGCCCGGAUCACUCCAGCGCAAUCGGCUGCCUUGGCGCGUUCCACUUGGCUUCUCGACCUUUUUUGUAAGCCGGCCCGGUUCUCUCCGUUGGUUUUCUUCAACAUGCUUCUUUUCCCUCAGUGUGAUUCUACUUGGAGAGCUUUUCUGUUGAGUUUGGUUCUUCCUUUUCUCUGCAUGGUUCUCCUUGGUAUGUUUUUCUCUCAGCGUGGUUUUCUUCUCUGAGCAGUUUCCUCAGCACUGCACAGGUCGCAGGUCCGCGUGGCCGCGCUGAUAGCCUCCACGCGGCAAGCGCGCAAGGCUAGAAGCGGAGGCGAAUCUGUGCCGCGCAUUCCUGGCUGGGACUCCAUCUUCGUUUUGCCGCAGUGGCUCCAUACUCGUUUUGCUGCUAAGGCUCGGUCCUCGUUCCACGGCUGUGGCUCUGUUCUCGCUCCCCCCUCCCCCCCUCCGUGGCCUCGUCUCCGACCACAGCUCCAUUUUUGUGGCCCAGGCUCGCAGAAGCUGGGGUGGUCUUGAGGCCUUUUGAGCCCCGAGGUCGGUCGAGUCCCAGGGUGAUUGGCCUAGGACACCGGCUCUGGCCUUCGGGUUCUAAGCCCUGGGCUGAGUUGGAAUGCACUCCCCGGAGCUGAAACCAAAUCGGGCCUGGAGACUCCUGAGCUUUGCAGCCCGGUAUGACCAGCACCAAGGCUGGGAGUGGAUGGAGUACGCGUUGCUGUGUGGUGGCUAUUUUAAUGCUGAGAGUGAGGGGCUCCAUUUGGCAUGCCGGGGGGAAGGGUACCGCCGAACUGAGUCUGGGGAAGGCUGCUUAUUCAGAGUUUUGAGUUGAGUUGAGAUCUGGCUCUUGGAUCCGAGUUGGUGUGUGUAUGUGUGGGUCUACAGUGGUUCCAAGUCCAGAGUAGAGUCAUGAUUGGAGUUGGAGAGGGAUUCGGGCCUGGAGCCGAGUCAGAAUUCAGGUGUGGAGUACAACGUGGUUGAUUGGAAUCUCGGGGUGGAGGCCACAGUGGUUGCAGUGGUUCUCAACCUUCCUAGUGCUGUGACCCUUUAAUACAGUUACUCAUGUUGUGGUGACCUCCAACCAUAAAAUUAAUUUCAUUGCUACUUCAUAACUGCAAUUUUGCUACUGUUAUGAGUCAUUAUGUAAAUAUCUGUGUUUUCUGAUGGUCUUAGGUGAUUGCUAUGAAAGGCUUGUUCAAGCCCAAAGAGGUCACGACCCACAUGUUGAGAUCUGCAGGGUCAGAAUAAGAACCGAAUUGGGGACUAGCAGAACUGGGAGUUACCUCCAGAUUUUCAGUUGGAAUUUGAUUCCCUCCUGUGGUUUUGAGUUGAGAUCCAAGAGGUUCAGGUCCCUGUUGGGGACUGGACUGAGGGUUUCUAGUUAUAUUCAGGACCUGACUUGAGAGUACAGUAAGAAUUAAAGUUGGUUUUGAGUGUGAACACAAUGUGGUCUGAGUUAGGGAUCAGGACUGAAGUAUAAAGAGUCUGGUUUUUAACAAGUGGGAAUCACAUUUUGAGAAAUGGGGGAUAGAAAUCUUUGUCCCAUGUGGGCCAGAGUUGAUUUAAAAGACCAAGGCCAGGGCUCAAAUCUUAGUCCUCCAUUUUGUUCUUCUUGCUGGUCACAUUCCCUUUUCUGUAAAAUGGGGAUGAGUGCUUUCCACUGGAACCUUUCUGGCAUAAAAGGGAGUAAGUAAUUAUUCAUCGAGGUAAAAAUACUCUUCUCUUAUAAUUAUUAAAAAGUAUAAAAGAUUUCUUAAUAGUAAUUUCUCAAUAGUAAUAUUGAGAAAUAUUACUAUUUAAAUAAUAUGUUAAAUGCACAAAUAAUAUGCAUUCAACAGUCUUUUCUCAUUUGGCGUGCCCAUUGUUAGUCACUACCAAAAAGUAACGUUUUCUGUCCUGUUCUCUAGUGGUGGCCCCCACCCAGCCACGGCCUAAUACACAGCCAUCCUCAGGCAAUACUGUUGAAGGAAAGCAGGCAGGCAGGAUUACCCAGAUUUCUACGGUGUCUCAAAUGAUCCAUUUCUGCACCUGUUUUCCAGAUACUUACUAGGAGAAAAAUUUAAAGGAUUGGAUUGCUUGAUUAUGGUUCUGUUUUAAUGUGUUACCAAACAUACUGAAGAAAAAAGUGGAUCUGUUUCGGGGUUUAUGCUCCAGCUAGAAGGAUCUUUUAAAAUUGCAAAUCAGAGCAUGUUCAGAUUCAAAUAAGGAGAGCACAAAUAAAGAAAAUUAUGAGGCACUUCCCUGGUGAAUAUAGAUGAAGGUCCAUGUACAGUAUUAACUAACUGAAUCCAACAGAAUUUUAAACAACAGUUCUUAGACAAGUGGAAUUUCUCCUUGGAAUGUAAAGAUGAUCCAAUAUCAGAAACUCUAUCCAUGUAAUUCACAGUAUUAAGAAUCUGCAGAAGAAAAACCAUAUGGUUUUCUCAAUGGAGGCAGAAAAUUUAUAUGAUGAAGUUUGACGCCUAUGUAUGCAUUUGAGGGGGCUGGAAGGACAUUACUUAGGAAGCCAAAAACUAGAAGAGAACUUCCUUAACAUGAUACAGUGUAUACCCAAAUUUAACUUUUCAGUAAACUUGAGGGAGAAAUUGUAUUAUUCCUGGUAAGAUAAGGAACAGGCCAAGGGUAUUAUCCUAGCCACCUCUUAAUGCAAGAGGUGGAGAUGUGAGGCUCCUGUGGCAGGAAGAGUGAAAACAAAUUACUUAGAGAUAAUAGUAUUAUUUGUAUUGGGGUUUGCAAACAUUUUGAUGUUACAGCCUUUGUGCACUUAAACAUUAGUAAGCCCCCCUCCCCAAAUUUAUUUAAGAUGGACUAUAUUUAUUGGUAGUUAUAGUCUUAGACAUUGAAAUUAUGUGCUUAAAAACAUUAAAAUUAUGUGCUUAUACAUAAAGCUGUAUAAGCACAUAUUCCAGUGAGGUCAUAUCUUUGGAAAACUGACUUUGUGAGAGUCAAAAUAGAGAAGGCAGAUGAGGUCUGAGAAUUAUAGAGAUACACUUAUUCCUCAGACUUUCUGGGACCUUUCCUAAGAGGAUCUGAGAAGGCUUCUUGAGAAUUUCUUUGGACUUUUCUUUGAAAACUGCUGAGCUACCUGAAAGACAAGGUUUUGCAGCAGAAGAAAUAUGUGGAUGUAUACAGUAUAUCCAAACAAACAAACAAACAAAUUAAGAAAACCCACACUUCUUUAUAACAAUAGUGAUUUAAAAGAUGUAAGAAGUACACUCAGAUACAGAUUAGAAUAGUAACAAGAUUGUCCUGGUCUAAACAUUUUUUUUUUUUUUUUAAAGAUGAUGUUUAUGGGAAAGCUGUAAAUUCCCGUUGGAGAUAAAGGAAGGUACUUGGAUGUGCAGACACAUCCGUUUUCUUGGAUGGGAAAAGUUAGCAUUAGAAACCUCAGUAUUUUGCAAAUCUAUAAAUUUAGUUAGAUUGCAGUCAGACCUCUAGUUGGAGGGUUUAACAUUUCUUCCUCAAAAAUGUAUGUGGAAGAAAAAGAUGUCCAAACGCCAAGUGAACUUUGUAAAACAUUCCAUGGCUCAGCAGCCAGAAGGGUGGACUGACAGAGACCCAGAACAGGGCUCAGAGAGCUCAGCCCUGAGUCUGGGGAAGGUGACAUGUGAUCAAAGUGGCACCACAUAUCAGUGGAGCCUCCUUGGAAGAUGUUAAAAAAAAAAAAAAACAAGUAGAAGAGAAACAUCUUGUGGACUUCGGGGUCCUUAGGAAACAGGGAGCUCCAAGCUGGAAAGUAAAAGGUAGUUGCUAUUUGUUUAGUAAGAAAAACUACAGAGAAUAUUUUCUAGGGUAGUAUGGAAGUCUUAAGCAGGACAAGUCUCAAGACUAAAAUUUAUAAACCUUGAAUCAGUGAUGCAAAUUAAGGAUUCCUAUGGAAGAAAUCCACCAUGGCCAGUGCCACUAUUUCCAUAAUUGAAAGACAUGAUUUACCUUGUUAUCCUUUCACAUGUGUAAUUCUGCCCAUGACAAAUUACAAGAUAAUCGGAACACUAAAGCCAGGGAGCAGCAGCUAAGAUGAUGCAAAAUCAGAGAAAGGUAAGCCAGGAAACUUGCAGUAGGGCUAAACCUGCAGUAGGGCUACCAGUAAAGAGGUGCUCAGACUUAAGUCACCAGAGAAACGCAAAGUGACAUUGAUUUAUUUAUUUUUUCUGAGAAGCCUUAGAAAGUAGGAUAAUGCCAAGUGUUAGCAGAAGGUAGGGAGCAAGUUUCCCUGCCUGCCGCAGGUGAGAGGGGAGACCGACACAGACAUUCUAGAAAGCUGGCCAGCAUUUUUUCCUCAAAUAAAAUAUUUUAUACCUGCGGCGCAACAGUUUCCCUACUGAGUAAACAUGCUGGAGCAGUUCUCCCCCAGAACAAGGAGAGGCUGUGUGUGCCUGCUCAGCGCAGCAUGGCCUGGGGGUGGUGGGGUGGUGGGCAUUUGGCUCCGGUUGCUGUGGGUAGAAGCAGGGGACUAGAUGUACACUUCACAAGAUGGAAAUGCAUGGCAACGGUGCUGAGUGACACAGACAGCAAACAGAAGGAGGGUUUCAGUCCCUGCCUUGGUGUUUCAAUUCAAAUUACACCCCUUCCAGACUUGCGCUAACAGAGCAUGCCAUCCAUACGUACAAUGAUAAAAAUAAGCUACCCAGAGCAGCUGUCUGAGUGGAAGGGAGUAGGGGAUUACAGGAUGGAGAUAGGAUGCAAAAGCACGGAAGGAGCAGAGUGGGACUUUUAAACAGACCCUUCCUCGGUAACCAUUUUAUGGGCCAAAGGCUGUGAUUUACUCUGUGUGCUAUAUACCAGGACCCAAGUGCCAAGUAUGAAGGAGUGAAUGUGCACCCAUCUCUUGCCUGCCAGAUACCCUCUGUAGACUCCUAUUUCUAGGAACAUCAGCUUUUUACAAGGUUGGCUUGCCCUGUACUCUGACCAUUUCUUCCUCUCUUGCUGAGCUUGAGCUUCAGCAGCAUUCUCUGAAUGUGUUUAUGUGAUUUAUGCAUCUGUGCACACGUGUUCUAGGUGCAUGCAUGGGUGGGGUCCAGAGGUUGAUGCUGGGUGUCUUCCUCUAUCACUUUCCUCUUUCUUUCCUUCUUUCUUUCUUUCUUUCUUUCUUUCUUUCUUUCUUUCUUUCUUUCUUUCUUUCUUUCUUUUUUUAAAGAUAGGAGCUUUCACUGAACCUGGAGCUCACCAUUUUUGUUUUGACUGGCUGGCCAGUGACCUCCCAUCCGCAGCCCCCACCCCCCUGGAAUCUUAGUGUCCGUAACCUAGCAUCCCAGUCAUGUGCUGCCAUACCUGGAUUUUAUGUGCGUGCUUGGGAUCUGAACUCAGGUUCUCUUGAUUUCCAGCAAUCACAAUUCCCAGUAAGUACUGUAGCCAUUGAGCCAUCUCCCCAGCCCAAUACCAACAUUCUUUUAUUUUGUUAUAUCAGCAAAGUAUUCCUCCGGCUUCAGGGUCUUAAGGUUAGUCACUCUGCUUGGCUUUUAUUUUUCCCAUAACUCUCAUAUCGCACUGGAAAUGCCUUUUCUGACCUGCCAUAUCAAUUAGUCUUCUCAGCUAAUUGCUACCUCAGUCUCUGAAACAUGGGCUACACUGUGGUAUUCUUGUCCUUGGGUGUGUCCACUUAAGUUAGCUGCCUGUCUCCUCCACAUAGACGGGAGGUCCUGGGUGAACUUACAGGUCUUCUCUGUAGGGUUAGCACUCCGCAGGCGUGUCACAGGCUUCUGGUGAGUGGCUUCAUUGAUUUGUUGGAUGAAAGGAAAGAGCAGGCCAGGAAAAAGUGUUCUUCCACUUUCAGAAUUCAGUGAGAAAGUAAGUGGUGGGGGUUUCUUAACUGCCACCUUGGGGUUAUUUGGUGAAGGAUGGGGUGGGGAGAGGGAGGGGUGCUCUGUGUUGUAGUAUGUUUAGCAGCCUAAAUGGCAUUUACCUAGUGGAAGUAAUCCCUUCACAGUUGUGAUAACAAAACCUGCCUCCCAAGGUUACCAUAUAGCCCUUGGGGUGGGGGUGGGGAUGGGGGUGGGGGCACUCCCUGCCAGGCCUGCCUUAGACUGAGUUCCAAGGAGCUGGAAAGCCUUUCUGCUUUAAACACAGGGUCCUUUAAACACAGCAGACUCUGGCCUUUAUCCUGCCAUGCACUAAAUCCGUGCCCUUAUGGUCCCUAUGAGGAAGACCCUGGCCUAUGCCUAUAUAAUAGAAGCACCCCCAUCUCUGCUCAUUGGUAUAUAUGUUGGCAGGUAAUCCUGUCCUCACAAUGCAUAGGAUUCCAUUAAAAUCUUUACAACAAUCUUAAAACAAAACAAAACAAAUCCCUACUUAUUGUUAUGUCUAUGAGUGUCUCGUCUGUAUGCAUGUAUGUAUACCAUGUGUGUGACUAGUAUCCCUGAGUACAGAAGAAAGUAUCACAUCUGGAAACUGGAGUUUCAGGGGGUUGUGAGCUGCUACAUGGGUGCUGAGAAACAAAUUUAGGUCCAUUCCAUAAGAGCAGCAAGUAUUCUUAGCCACUGAGCUAUCUCUAACCCCAAGUACAACAGCCUUUUAGCCGCAGUGCCUAAGUUGUGAACAGCAUCAGCACCUGCAGCUUUACCAGCUUGGAGAUGGCCCAGAAAGGAGGCUGGGUUGGGUCUUCUCACCGCUGCCAGUUAGUACAGACUAGUAAGUGGCUCUUGUGAACAAUGGAUCCAGAAGUUUACAGUACACUUAGGAGGAGAAGAGGGUUUGCCUCAGAGAAGGCUGCUUGGGAGAGUAAGUGGGUGGCCUCUAAUACUGGGUUUCCUCUCCCUGUGCUUGCCUCUGAUAUCAGCCUUUGCCAUGAUCUUCUAUGCUGCCUGGCCCCAGAAAGUCUGGGUCAGUGGCCAGAGUCCAGACUCCCAGGGUCCUGAUCAGAGUCCUCAGGAAGGCCUGAGAGAUUAGAGCAUAGAACUCUCCUAGCCUCUCCCACAAGGGAACUGAAAGCUUCCCUGAGCCUUUCCUAGGGACUGAGACCCUUGUUUGCAAUUUAAAUGUGCCCUCCUUUAUGGAAGAAUCCCAGCUCCUUGAAGAGCGUUGAGCUCACCCUCCCUAGCAGUUGUAGCCUUAGCCAGGGGAAGAAACUGAUCUAAUGGGCCUUUCUCCUAAUAAUGCUAAUUGCGGCAAUUAGGCUCUGAGAAUAGAGAACGGGCAGGGCUAGGCCAACUAGUUUGCCCUUAGCUCAAAUCUAGGUCCACUACUCAGGCUGCUGUCCCGGUUGACUAAGCCCCAUGAAGGUUCUGCAUGAGCAGAGGUUCAGCAGAGGAUGGUUGAAGCCUUCUGGCUUCCAGGGGCAAUUACAGUAGAUAUGUAUCUGAGCUCGUGUUCAAUCUAGUAUCCAUACAGGUGACUCCAGGCUUUUCCAUGUGACCCUCCCAGAAGAGGGUCUAACUGGAGCAUAAAGAUGGUUUGAAUUAAUCAACAAACCAAUCCACCCUCUCCCCACCCUCUCCUCUCUCUCUUUCUUUUCUCUCUCCUCUCUCCUCUCUCUCUCUCUCUCUCUCUCUCUCUCUCUCUCUCUCUCUCUCUUUCUCUCUUUCUCUCUCUCUCUGUGAAAGGGGGGGUGGAGGGAGAGGGAAAAGAUGAGCAGGGGAGGGGGUAAGAAGAAGAGUGAGCAGGGAGCAGGGGCAGGAGGUGAAGAGUGAGCAGGGGACCAGGGAUAAGGGCUUAUCUGGUCUGGCAGGAAGUUAGGUUUUAAAGCAUAUGGCUUUAUGGAUUAAGAAACCAUGCCUUAGUAUGGCCAAUUAGUAGAUCUAAUCCCCUCAGCCCCCUAACAUAUACCAAAGGAUCAAUGUUUCUUCACUCUGCAGAGUCUUGCUUACGAAGCACUCUGGGUCCUGUUCUCUCUGGGAGCUGGGAAUCUGGCCUGAUGGAAGGAAACACAGCACAGGCAUAGGCAGCCUGAAUGCUUAGUUAUUCAAAGACUACACCAUAGCUGACUUUGAAUCAGUAUAUAGUAUCUGCACGGUACAGAGCCUUUCCAGGAAGUGAAUUAUGUGUGGGAGGCAGGGAAGUGAUUAUUGCUCCAUUUUAUAGACUCAGCCAUUCCACACAUACUUGUUGAAAGUCCACCAUUCAUCGCACAGCUGUCUCCAGGAGGGAAUUUUACAGGAGUCAGGUCAUACUUGUCCUGUGGUGCUUGUGUGUUGUUAUACACUGAAGGGAAUAUUCUUUGAGGGCUGGAGAUAGAGAAAGGACUCUUAGGAACCAGCCAGAACUCAUCUGGGAUCCUAGUUAGGCACCAAGACCAGGAGGGCACUGUGGAGGAGGGAACGCGAGAGAAAGAAGCUAGCUUUCUAAAACUGGGUACAGAGCUGCAGGCCUUGCUUCCUGAGAGGAUCUUGAGUUUGUUCUGAGACCACUGAGAGCUGCUAAGGGUCUAAGUUCCCAUUCCAUUUAGAUCUCAUUCCACUCAGGGAACUAAGUGGAAUCCACAGUUUAAAAGGCUCUUUCUUGCUGAGUGGAGAAUGAACAGGAGGGGAAUGGAGGUUAUCCGAAGGAGGUGUUGUGGCCUCGCAGAGGAGUGACAGUACAGAAGGAGGGAAUGGGUAAAGGAGGUGAGCAGCCUGGCUUGGUAAUGGACUAGUUGGGUCAGCUAGGAGAGAAGGUGAUGGAAAUGAUUCCAAGGUUUCAGGCUUAUGCUACUGGAAGAAUUUUUGUUGGGGGCAGAGCAUGAGUUGGGGGAGUGGAAUAUGAAGUAACAGAUACGGUGGGUCCAGCCAUCGGAAAGCUAGUUUUUGUCUGUCCAGGAGCUCCUGGUGCUGAGAGGAGGGACUAGCAUAACGGAAAGAAGGGUAGCACUACUUAGUGGGUGUGAAACUGGGGACGGAGCCAGCAGGGUGGCAGGGGAUGGGUGGACAGAAAAGAGAAACCCAUUCUUGCAGAGGUCACAUGGAGUCAGUGUUCUAGUCUUCUGAGGGUUGGCAGUGGACAGCAACCAGCCUAGAAUGUGCCUCCUGCCAGCGUGACUAUGACACCUGCCUUUCUCUAUGACUAGAGAGAAGUCCUUGUUUCUCAGUGGUUCUGUUUUCUCUCUGUGUCCACAGAGAGAGAACAUUUCUCCACAGAAUGUGCAGGGAGGGUCACCUCCCUCUGGAGGCCUCGUCCUUGCUAAAGUAUUUCAUAAUCUUGGAACGAUGGAAAAAUCCUUCUACCCAUUUUAAUGCAAAGCUGGGCAAGCUUUAAAAAACAAAUGGCCUUGAAUAGGCUGAGAUGAAAAGCAAAGAGGCUGCCAACAUUAGAGACUUGGGGGAGGGGUGUGCAGUGGGCAGGGAGAUUUUGGGAGGCUCCAAAGUUAGCAGUUUCUGAGCUUUACUGCUCAAACCUAGAGGCCCAAACCAAACAGAGCAGGUCCAGGGUUCAAGGUGCAAGGGGGCAACAGCCCUUUGGUGGAAGAUGUCUCUUUCUUGUCAUUGUUCCUGAUUAGCUGUUCAAACAGCCUUCACAGAUUCUUCAAAAAAUGGUUAACUGUGGAUCCUCUAUAUCUUUUGCUUGGUAAUUUUUAAACACCGCUGAGCCCGAGCGCCCCUCCCAGAGGCUCAGAGGCCAGAGGCCAGCACAAACUCUACACCACGUCUGCCUAGCCUUUACCUCAUGUGUCUAGGAAUGAUGUACAUUAGAGUAGAGGCUCUGAUGCCUCCCUCGCUCAGGUGCCAGAUCAAGGCUUCAUCCUCUGCCCUUUGCCCAGGGUUUAGUGGGGUUUGCUAAUAUUAUUUAAUUCCCAAAUGAACCUUUCAGGUCAGCAGAAAAGAGCUGGGACUGUAUGGCAAAACCUGGAUGGAGAAAAUGGCUCAAACUGUUAAAACAAAAAAAAAAAACAGGCUCCCAAUGGUGGAAGGGAAGCUCCCCCUCCUUAAGGCCAGAGGUCAGUGUUCCCAUUAAUCCUUCUGCCAAGGGAUAUGUCCCUAAAGGUUCUAGGGUCACACCCUAUCCUUAACCACUCAGGACUUCUGAGAAAUGGCAUUUCAUACCUACAUGUACUGCCACAACUGUACACAACCAAGUGCACACACAUUCAUCGUGUUCCCAGCCAGGGCCCAAGACUGAGUCUCAUUCCCAUUCCACCUUCUCUUAGCCUGUAUGCCAUCUGCCUUGUGAUAGAUGCUGAGACCUACUUAGAUCCAUGGCUGUGCCUGAUGUCUAAGGACCCUGCCUUCUGGUGUCACCCACUUCACUCUAGCUCUCUGUGAUGCCAGCUUUUCUACGGGAGGCAGGCAGGGAGCCUUCUCAGCCAGCCAUAUGUCCUAUGCCAGACAGCCAUGUGGGCAGCUCCAGUGCUUGCCUUGUGGACCUCCUGUUCUAUGGAUGGGAUUUAGCACUCCCAAGAGCACCACAAGAAAGGGGACAGCAAGCAAGAAGAAACUCAGCCACAUAGAAGGACUUCUCUGAGGCCACUGGGUGCCUGACAAGAGUCCUGCUUCUGGGGAAAGCAGUGCUCCAUGUUUGUAGUAGAGCCACCUUCUGUCUUAACCUUGGCGGAGAGUGUUCUUGGACUCAUGCUUCCAUAGAAGCAGUCUGGGUAGGGGUAGAGAGGCAGCUCCUGUUUUCCUGGCUCUGUGCUUGGGAAGUCACAGCUCUCACGGUUGAGAAAGGCAGCCCAGGUUUAGAGCAGUUGGAGGCCAUCCCUGAGAAUAUAGGGCUGGAUAUAGAGGUGUGGGUGCUUAUAAAUACCAUCCUAGGUAUAUGGAAAGGCCACAGGCCACCAUGAUAAGGUACCACUUCCCUUUCCUGCCUGGUGGGCUGUUUCAGUACCAAAUGUCCUGCUACUAAUUUGGUAUAAACAAAUGGGGCCUGAUCUAAAUGCAAAGAACUGAUGCCUCUAGCAGCCACUCCUCUGCCCUGACUUUCCUCAGUGGGCCGUAUGUCUCCUCUUGAUUCUGUUUCUAAAACCACCUAAACUGCAAGAAUCUGGAAAAUAGCCGCUAUAGCAGAUAUUUAUGUUCUUCUGAUCUGCCAUUCAUUCUGUUCUUCCCAUAGAGGCCUAAAUGCUGAGACACUGGGCAGAGGGCAAGGAAAGGUACUGCCCAGAUCUCUCCAGAGGCUGCCAAGAUGUGACAAGGUUGUAGUUGAAGUCUUUAGGGACAUCAGCCGUAUAUGAUGCUGUCCUCCUCUUUGCCUUCUUCCUGUGGGGUGGGCUUCUUCCCAUGGGGCACUUCUUCCCAAAGCCACAUGAAAGGCCUUAAGUUCUAGAGGAUUAACCUGAGGAUGGCACUGAGUUGCAGGGUGCGGAUGAGAGAUUAUUGUAGAGCUGGUAGAACCCUCCAUCUGCACGGCUGACUUCAAGCUGCUGCUGGGCUUAGCCCGCUGCAUCAAAGUCAGCCAGUUACACAGUUUGCACAUAAAAGGGAGAGUGGAGGGCUUAAAAGCCUUCAGUGAAGACAGGCAGGCAUUCCACCCUCUUCUCAGGCACAAGAGCCACCAGAGGAGAAAGUAACUGCCUCUUAAAGACACGGAAUCACCCUUACACCCUGGUUUAGGGUUUGAAGACUACAGCCUUAGUCACAAGCCUAGUGAGGCACCUGUGUGGCGAGAUCCUCCAUAUGCAUUCAGCUCCCUGCCUUGUAUUUUGUUUCCCUGCCUCCAGUACCUAUGUUUUGGGGGGGCAGGCUAUCUGGCGGUUGGGAAUAAGGAGAUAGUAUUUGGUAUGACAGCCCUGAGGAAACUGAGUCAGGCUGCUCAGGUUGGAUUCUAGCUUUUAGUCUAAACAAUGGCUUUAUACAGUGCCUUUCCUCCAGUCCUCGCAGCCUUGUGUGAAUACAUUUAGAGGAGACCCUCCUUCAGCCUCCCUGAGAAUGCUCUGGAAAGACCCAGGAGAAUCUAUCUUGCUCUCUUGUCUCCCGACUCCUGCCUUCCUCUUUGCCCCUUGUUGCAUCCCUUGCCUGACUGCAGUAUACUGUGGUGCCAGAAGUACCAACUUCUCAAGCAGAGCCUAACCCAGCUUGUGCCUUGCAGAGGGCAGAGGGGUGCUUGCUGACCCUGCCCUCAUUCAGGGAGACUUCAAAGGGAAACUGGAAGCAUUCCUUGCUGACCCCCAGUGAGUGGGAGAGAAGCAGCAGCUUGGCUCAGCUGGCUGGGUUGGGGAUUUUCCAUCCUACCAAUGAUAUCCACGUGAUACCCCACUCUGGCUUUUGAGGAACCAGGAACUCUGAGGAACCAGGGUUUGAUUUUCAACCUGUUGGUGCCGUAAAGGGCUAGGCUCUUUGGCUUUGGGGCAUUGCCAGCCACUUGAGGAGCUUCCUAUUCUCAGCUUCUUCGUGACAUGCUGACGACUGGUGUGAAAUCUUAGCCUUAAGGUCCGGCGAGAUCUAGCUUUGUGUGGGGAGAUUACAGUUUGUGUGGGGACCCAAGAAAAAGUAGAGAGAAGAUGCCUGCCUUUUCUCUAUCAGCUGUUUACCCCUCGGGCCUUUUGUGGAGUGCACACGCCAGCCUCCGUAGCAGCACAGCACAGCCCAGGCUAUCCUAGACUGCUCCAAGUCCUCAAGCAGAGUACAGUGAGACCUGGGUGGGGAUUCAGCACCUCCCGAGCUGAGGGGGGCAAGAAGCCCAGAAAUAGAAGUCAACAUUUAUGCUAAACCAGGGUACCCCCCUUGACUAACGUGGGCUCUUGGCAGCUUCUGGCUCUCAGAUCUCUACCUACAAUUUGUAGGCUAAAUACUCUACACUACUCAGCGUAUCUAAUCCUGUCCCUCAAGUGUUAGACUAUCGGGUUUCCCUCUGAGUCACAGCAACCUUAGGCCUGGUCAUCUUCCUUUUUUUGUGUUUGUUUACUAGGACGAAGUACCAGGUGUACUCUGAGACCAAGUGUCCAUGAGAUCCUUAUGGACCUGGACUGGGUUAUCCCCACCUCCAUCUGGUCACCAGAUAUAAAUACAUGAAGGCCUCUGUCCAAAGAGUAUCUCAUCUCAGAGUCCCUUUUUGUACUUUUUGGGGAUGUGCAAGGGUCCUUACUUGACAGUGGUUGGGUUGGGGUACAGGGUUAUAGUUGGCAAUUACUGGUCCUGGGCUAAAAAUGAGGCCCAUGAUGUAGAAGUUUUAGCUUACAACUUGAAUUUGCCAUCCUAAAGAGUCCCAUACAUGGCAUAACAUAUCUGUUCUGUGUAACCUCAAACUGGGUCUGAGAGCAGAUGCUUUGAUGAGGAAAGCAGUAUCCACAGCUGUCUCUCCAGCAGCAUACUGCUAAGAGGUGAACUAUUCUGUGGGCUUUAUGUGAGAUGACUCUGGAGAUAAAUGGUGGUGGUAGUGGGCUUGUUUAAAAACAAUAGAGAAAACCUGACAUUAUAGAGUCUCUAAGCAUAGGCAUCAACAUUUGACAGCUGGGUUGGGGUGUUGUGGCAUUGUUGAUAAGCCAUAGUGAGCAUGUUCCCCUUCAGCCUAGCGCUUACAGGAUGGGCCAAAGAGAGUGCAGUAUGAUUUCAGGGAUGUCCAGGGUCAGCAGCACUACUGAGAUGAAGUGUGUGCCUGCCCCAUCCUGUCAGGGUCUGGUCACACAACUAGGCCAGAGCAGGCUUAGAUGGCAGGAUUAGACAUAGGGAGAUCCAACAAAGGCACAGACAGUAUCAGAAAUGAGGUAGCAAGACAGGGCAUAGACUCAAGCUUCCUGGGUUACUGUCAACGCCGGCUUACUCUAUGAUUAUGCAAAAAGUGGAAACAAAAUUCUUUAAAGAAACCUAAUUACCAAUGUGGAUUUGUAGCAGGCUGAAUUGUGGGAGGCCCUGGUGGAGACGGAUUGAGCUUUGACAGUGACUGUGUCUUAGCUGAGGUCUUCCUUCCCACCUCUCUCAGCCAAAGCAAGUACUCAGUUGGGUCCCAACUCCCACAAGGCUCUCUUCAAGUACUAUAUUACAGAUGUGGGGGUGGCCGUUACUCAUUUUGGCCAAAGUUACUUAAGGGACACAGAGAAGGUAGACGUGUUGCUUUUCAAAUACCUAUAAGUAGAAAGGUGGAAGAGAAGGGGGAGUUUGGUCAGAAAGCCACAGACACCAUUUGCUUCUCAUCCCCACAUGAAAAUAGAUGGUACUGGGGAUUUACCCCAUCUGCUCCUCUGUAUCUUGUCUGUGGCUGGCCUAGGCCCUUAUCUCACCACAGGCCACUUCAGAAAAGAGACGGCAAUGGCAAGAGUGGGCCAGGCUGCGUGGACUGGGUAAAGUCAGUUAAUAGACAGUGCCUGAUUAAGAACUAGGUCCCAUGGUGUGCCCCAUGCUUCAAGGGAAGCCAUUCCCUAAGAGCUGGUGUGAAAGAUUUGAAGUGGCUGUGCCAGCUACUGAGUCUUCUCCUCUGAACCGUAUAGUGAUAGGCAUGGGCAACAUGAGCUGUUACUGCCCAAGCAAGGAAAGUCAGGUUGACAAGGAAGGUCUUUUCAAUUCAGAGAAGGUAAGGCAGUCAUCAAGCUUUGUCUUACCAGGAUAAUGUCAGUGUAUAUCCUUUGCCAUUUGGCUCAGAAGACGCAACUCUGAAUGAUAGCUAGAGAGCAUCACCUAACACAAUCUGGCUAUGAACACAUUUGGGGUCAUGGAGCAAAAGGCUAGCCCUGGAGGCCUCAUGGAUCCACAAGAACCCAGAGAGAGAACAAGGAGGCUCAGGGUUUUAGAGGCCUCUGAUCCACACAGAGAGAGUCAGGAAAGUUAUUAGAGGUAUUCCCUGCAGCAAGAUAUGAAGGGCUAGCUAUGGGAACAACAUUUGAAAUGCUGGUACUCCAGGGCAGUGUGUGUGCUGCUGGAUAGCAGGAGGGUUUCUACUGAUGCCUGAGGCUUGCUCUAGCUCAUAAAUCUCCACUUCUCCUUAGCACUGUGAAAUGUUUACUCUGAACUAAGCCUCUGCUUUAACAAGUCAUGUUUCAAUAGGAAAACCUUCGUUGAUGGAAUCGAAUGCAGUUCCUCCUCCCCCUCCCUGCCAGUUACCCAUUCCUAAGAAAAGCACAGCCAUUUGGCAAGCACCCAGAGCCUCAGGAACUAGCAUUCGAAGAUAGUAGUGUGGCGGAUUUGAUGGCCUCAUUUACAUAAAGGAGAACCUGGCCUCUCUGUGCCUGGUCUUGUCAGUCCUUCAAACUGACAGUACUGAAGAGUUGGGGACCUACGCUCCAUCCUUUACUUCCAGCUCCAUUACCCAUAGAAGCCUUCAGUGGGCACUUUCAGACUUGGUGCUGGUUCAUUCUUAAGACUGGCCUGUUGCUGUGCUUCGGAGUCAGCAGCCACAGAAGUCCUGUUGCCUCAGGAGAGCCUCGUUAGUCCCGCUAAGAGCGUAUACACACAAAUACAUGGUGAGAUCUACCAGCCCUAAGGCAACAGUGUGUUUUUUCUUUACUUAAACAGUAGAGUGGGUUUCCUGUAUGGACCUAGUUGCCAGAGGUUGCUGCCCUGACCUAGAAAUAGCUGCUGCCCCAAGCCUUGCUUUACAAGUUUUGUUUGUUUGUUUUUAAAAGAUUUAUUUUUAUUUUAUGUGUAUCAGUGUUUGCCUGCAUGCAUGUCUGUGUAUCACAUGCAUACGUGGAGCCCACAGAGGUCAGGAAAGGGCACCAAAACCCCUGGAACUGGAGUUACAGAUCCACAAGUUCUUGAUCUACAAAACCCGAGAUGGUUCCUUCCAUGUGAAACCCCUUCUAAGAGAAUCAUCUAAAAUCACUGUGUUAUAUUGGUGCCUACAUUUCCAGAAUGGCAGGCAGAAAGGGGUGCAUUGUCGAGAAUGGUGAUAAGAUAGGUUCUGGUGGACUCUGGGACCCUAAGUCCCAUGGAUAAAACCCUGCCAGGGAGCUCUGAAGCUCUGCCGUCCCUUCAAUAUGUUCCUGGCACUAACAUGGCCCAAAGCAGCCUUCCCACCCCCAGGCCGGGUCCUAGAGAGCCUAAUUGAUUGCAUGUGAAACCUCAGUCAUUUAUGUGUUCAUUUAUUUCUUCAUCAAACAUUCACUGAAGGUUCCUGAUGUGCUCCAAGUAGAUUAAGCACAGAAUAUAAAACACUGAACAGAAGUGGUCAAUGUCUGCCCUUAUGGACCUUGAAUGGGAUCGACAGAAAGUCAGUAAACUUGUUACCACAAACAUGCGGUUAUACAUUAAAAAUGAGGGAUGGGGGUGUAGUUCUCUACGGCUCAGUCUGAAGCUGAGAAAUAGCUUAGGCACGCUUCAGCCUAAGAAAUCAGCCUUAGCUUGUGAAAGGUGAAAGUCAGAGGAGAGCUUAGCAUGUUUAAAGAUGUCGCCAAGAAAAUGUUACAGGGGCUGGGGCACCUUUGGCAGAUCGACUACUCCCUGGCUUUGUGACCUGGGCCCUAGACUUGAGCACUCUAGUUUCAGUUUAUCUCUAAAUCAGAAAUGAUAGAUAGUAUUCAUAUGUCAGAAGCUGCUGUGAGGAUUAGUGAGGUUAUAUGUAUAAAGCUCUCAGCAUAAUGCCUGAAAACUCUAAGUAGUAUUAGCACAGGCUUAUUCUUCUCAGAGUGAGCAUGUCUUCUCCUUAAGCAGUAGAGUGGUGGUUCUUUUGAAAUACCCAGGACUCUCCUGUUACUCCUGUCCCUAGGACCUCUUCUGGAUGAGUGGGGAGGCUAUAAUGGAGGCCUAGUAUUCAAAAGAAAAGACUUUCCUUUACCUGUGUGCAGGAUGUUGCACUGAGUUUUCUAGCUUCUUUCAGCUCCAGGAGCCUGUAUUUGUCACAUAGCAGCUUUGCUCAGCCUAGAACCAGCACUCAGAGCUAUGGGAGACCAAAGCUGCCUUUUGGGGCUAAGUACAUUGUAUAUGCAUGUCCAUCAUUUGCAUACACAUUUGUAGGGCACAGCUGAAAAUCUCCAGACAUGUCCCGGGGAAGAUGAUGUUAUUUCUAGGCUUCCUGGCAUCCUGGUGGAGACCACCAAGAAUCACUUCAUACCCAGGAUAUUAAGGUCAACUGGUUCCAUUGUUUCCCAGAGUGCUCACAACCACCAAUCUUUCUCUGAGUUAGCUUAGCCCCAAGAGCCUCCUUUCACAUGGGCGUGAGCAGUGAGUUAUAAAACUAGGGGUCCCAGAGUUGGAGAGAGACAGGACAGAAGAGAAUGGUUGUCCUGGAACUCAAAGAAGAGAGCAUCCUGCUUCUGCCUCUUAAGUACUAGGUCUGCAUCUAAUCUACCUUCUGUCAAAGCUAGCGGGCCUUUCUAGCCUCCCACUCCCCCUUAACAUAAUAUAAAAGCACCUUCUUUGGAAUCCUCCUAGCAUUGGGAAUAGAAUUGUAGAAGAAUUUUCUCUUAGGAUCGAUCUCCCUCUGUCUCUCUCUGUCUCUCUCUUUCUCUCUCUCUCUUCCUCCCUCCCUCUUUCUCUUUCUCUCUUUCCAUAUAUGUAUGUGUGUGUAUGUAUGUAUAUAUAUACAUAUACACACCAUCACAUUCUUAAUGACAUUUUCUAAAGUCUCGUUGUAAAGUCUCAGUAAAAAUUCCACUGGUGUGUUAAUCUGACAAUGCUACAUAAUAAAAGAACACAUACCCAACAAACCUAUGAUGGCUAAUGCAAAGCUCUUACAUAUUAGCCAAGAAGGUCUGACAGUUUAAAAAAAAUAUAGACCUGAUUAAGAUCAUAGCAGGAUACAAAGACACACACAUAACAUGGGUGAGCCUCAGAGGUGGGCAGAGGGAGGGCGUCAUCUUCAUUCAAAGAUGAUAUGCUACUUGGCUCAAUUCAUGGCCUAUAAUGCCAUGUGUGGUAGUACAUGCCUUUAAUUCCAGCAUUCAGGGGGCGGAGGCAGGCAAAUCUCUGAGUUUGAGUCUAGCCAGGGUAUAUAAUGAGACCUUGACUCAAAGUAAACAAAGGAACAAACAAAUAAAUUUCAGUGAAGUAUAGGCUAGUAGUUGCCAGGGGAUCAGGAAAGUAGGGCUGGAAAGCAUGAGGUACCAUGAAGUGGCUGUACGUAGGGGCCCUUGAGGCCACAGAUUCAUUCUACAGUGGUGCUGUACCCUAAGCUUGAUAUGUUCCUAUAGUUCUAAAGAUGUUGCUAGAUGAAACUGGUCAGGGUAUAGGGAAUCUCUUUGCUAUUGUUUACAGGUGUAUGUCAAUCUAUGGUUACCUAAGUGCUUAAAAAGUUACAUCUCACUUAAGUGAGUAGUACACUUAAAAAUACCAUGUGAAUUUAAAAAUGGAAGAGAGAGAUGGGUGGGCGGUUAAAGAGUUAAACAAUAUAGAGACUUUAUAGUUCACUUGAGCACUUAGAACAGCUACUUCUCCUUAUGAAUGGACGUUUUUUAUUUACCAAGGUAAUUCUUCCUUCAUCUAAACUGACAAAGUCAGUGGAAAAUAUCAGCACAAAAAGGAAGGUUACACACAAAGUUUAACUAGGUGAGUUAUGCUAAGGUUUGUGAAAAAUGUGGCAUGUGCCAUGAUUCUGAAGCAGCUGUACCUCUCUGGUCUGGCCUCACCUCUACCCCCCCCCCCCAACAUUGCUUGGACAAUUCUUCUGUCAAGGUGAGAAAGGCAAUGAUUUCUAAGAUUACACUCCCAUUCUGAAUAACCAUAAGGGGCUGCAUCUAUCUGCCUUGCUUCUGACACGGAUGCCACUCAGCCAGACUUCCCUCUCCAUUGGCCUUGCUGAGCAUGGAGAAUUUGGGUUGUAGGUGAUAAAAGUCGACGCUUUAUGAUGCGUAAUGCAUUUAAGGAGCACAGCAGCCAACCCACGGCGAACACCUUUCUACAUGGUUCCAUAUUACAUUUCACCCCUGAACAACUCAGGAAGAAUGUUCUUUUAGUAUGAUUUUAUAGACUGAAGUUCUAGAAUGAAAGAAGCGGUGAAGCCUGGAUUGAAAUUUGGUCUGUGGCUACAGAACCUGCUUUUGACCAUGUAGCAUUUUAGUUGCACAUCCUGAAAUAGAAGCAUCAGUCAAGUAGCAGGUGUGGCAUUCCUCCCAGCCAUGGAAAAGGCUGGAAAAACAUAAUUGGUCCAGGUGGCCCAGCUGAGAAAGGCACUGAGUCCUUGCUUUACAGAUCAUGCCGUGGAGCCAUUUUUACCUGUAUAGAUUAUAAUAGCACUUUCUAUUAUAAUCCUUCUUUAUAUGUUAAGAUUAUGGUACUUUUAAAAGUUUUUUUUGGGGGGGGGCAGUUUCUGGGAAUUGAACCCAGGGCCUCACACAUGCUAAGUAAGUGUGCUGAACUAUACUUGUAGUCAAAACCCUAUUUUAAACAAAUAAACAAACAAAACACAAAACCUCUAUACUCUCUUCCUUGAAUUACACAUUAUUCUCUUGUUCCCUCCUAACGUGAUAAAUUGUCUUAAGAUGGCUAAAGCAUGAUUAGAUAGAUAUGUACCCAGAUGGCUCCGGUGUCUGGCCAUAACAUACCCUUUGGAUGUUGCCUUAUGAGGGAGCCUCUAAGACAAGUUCUCAUGGUCCCUGACAUGAUUAGCUAGUGAGGACUAAGUCAGGAGUUAAGGAUGUGUGUCAGUCAUAGCCAUAGCCAUGCUUAGCUCACAGGCCAGUCUGGGAGCCACUCACUAGUUGGAUCUUCAUGCCAUCAGGUCUUCAACAAUCUAUGAAGAAGCCCUGACACACAGAAAUCCAUCUCAUAAUGCUAUAUAAUAACAGCAGGCACACUGUAGUCCUAAGGAGAGCCUGGAUACAGACACAAACAAGAUCAGGAAAUACAGUCAAAAUAGCAGCUAAAACCAGCAGCGAAAAGUUGGAACAACCACAUAACUGUGGAAAAUAAAUUGGCUUUUUAACUACUCCAAGUCCAGAUAAACAAAUAAUAUAAACGUAAAACAUGAAAUAAAAGAUGAUAGAAAACAUGGGAGACUUCAUUAAAACAGUCUUACAGUGAGCUUAUUUCCAGAUCUGAUACAAAACCUCCAAAUUAACCAAAGACUUAAAGAACUGACUUUGUAAGAAGAUAGAAAGAAAUCUUAAUUCUUCAGCAGUUAAAAAAAAAAAGCUAAAAUAUCCAAAAAACAGUGGGGAAAAUAUUUUUAAUGUAUGCACUAUAGGCAUUUUAUAUGAAGUAAUUCAAAAAGUCUAAAGGUUAUGAAGAGAUGGCCUUCAAAAAGGGGGUGGAUAGGCUUUCAAAAAUAUGACCCAAACUAAAUCUUUUAAAAAGAUGAAACCUUCAUAGGGGAGAGAUGGCUUAGUGCGUAAGAGGGCUUGGCAUGCAAACAUGAGGACCAGAGUUAGGACCUCGGCAUCCAUGUCAAAUGGUGGGUGUAACUGCAUUCAUGCCUGUAACAGUACCUGGUCAUGGCUAGGAGGAUUGCUGGGCCUUGCUGGCUGACAGCUCAGGUCUAGGUUCAGGGAGAGACUAUCUCAAAGGAAUCAGGUAGUGAUAGGUUAGGACACCUGAUAGUCCUCCAUGUGUUUUUCUCACCCCCCUCAUGGACCCCCUAGAUAAAAGAAAACCAAAGCUGUAGCAUACUGUGUUUUAAGCCGGUAAUCCUCUUGUUGUCGGGAUCUAGGGAAACAGACAUAUUUGGACAGCAUUUGCAAUAGUAUAGACGGCACAGUGUCUGUUAAGCAUUAUCUACCUAAAGGUGAGGAAAUAUUUUAAUCCCAUUUAAAAUAGGCUGAAGAGACAUCUUAAAGUGAAUCCAUUUGAAAUAAAAAUCAAUAUAUUGUGAUAAGCAGAUGAUUGGAAGGUUAUCUUGAAAAAAUGGUAAGUUAUGAAAAAUUUGAUCUUAUGUAAUAACACUAAUGUCUGCAGAUACAUACUUCUUUUAGAAAAAUAACAAAUUGAAAAUAGUUUUAUUUUGUAAAACACUAUGCAGUACUGUCUUGCAGAGAGAGGAUGUUGUCGCAGAAGUAUGGCAAGGCCUGGCCAAUUUUGAGAGGGGCUGCCCUGAAUCUUCCGUGACCUCACCAACUCUUCCCUUAAAAUGCUUAUCUAGAAUUAGCCUGGCUCUUCUUUUCAAUAGAUAACUGGCCUAACUGUCUGAUUUUCCAUGGAGAAAUUCAUCAGCAAAUCUCUUUCCAACUUGAUGAAUUCUUCUAUAAGAUUUAUAGUUUCUCUUCAUAAGUGAUUUGCUUUGUGUGUGCUUAAUGUUGUUUGGUGGACAAGAGCAGCCUAGAGGGGGCUCAGUCAACAGAGAUGCCAGCAGGGAUAACAUGGAUGGGGAGGCACAGCCAUGCUCAAUGGGGAGAGCAAUUUCAGAGGGAACUAAUUUCAUAAGUGGUCGGUUCAUAAGUGAAUACACUUGAAUGGAUAAUCACUAUUUUUAGCUGCUCUAUACAUUCAUCAAUAGGGGACUUGUUCCAUAAAUCAUGGCAUAAUCAGAGGCUCUGCAGCUGUUAGUAGAAAGGAUGUUUGCUGCUUGUCUGAGUAAAGCUCUAUCUUUAAAUUCAUGUCCAUUGGUGCAGAGUGCCCAUGCUAAACCUGCAAAGUUUCAUUUGGCAUGACCUCUCUGGGACAUUUAUCUCAGUCCCUGGCCACUGUGUGCUGUCAGCCUUCUGAUUUCUGCAUUGUAUAGGAGCAUCCUUGGGAAUGUUCACUCUCUUCAUAAACUAUCCCCUUUGGAAGAGAGUGCCACCCAUUUCUUAAAGGUACCUAUAGAAAGGUGGCUUUUUAACACCUAGUUUGGUGUUCCUAAUCCUGCACCACCAUCUACAUGACUUUGCCGGAUACUGUUGAGGUCACGUGUUGACUAGAAACAGGGCUGGUUCCAGGAAUAUAACUAACAACCUGAGCAGAACAGUAAGCACGUUCUGUCUGGAAAAAGCCUGGCCCAGAGCAAAGGCCACAUCCUCCUUACAACAUACUGGAAUCCCAGCCAGGAGAAAAACAGCUCUGUCACCUGCUCACUUGAAUAUGCAUCUGUAAGUAAAACUGCUACUCAGAGUUGCAACAUAUUGUAACAAGCCAGUCCUGUGCAGAUAGCCCAGGACUAGGCACCUCCCUGUGCACAAGGCACACGUACAAGUACACAAGAAUGUGUGCCACCCAUGUCCAAAGGAGGCACAGAGACAUGUGCCCUUGCUUACAUAAAGUCUCUGGGAAGACCUAACUGAACUGAAAACAUUUAGGAAAAGAAACUUGGGAAUUAGGGUCAGGGUAGGAGACCCUUGUUUUUUUUUUUUUUGUUUGUUUGUUUGUUUUUUGUUUUUUUGUUUUUUUUUGUUUUUUUUUUACCAUAUUCCUUUCUGCACCCUAAUUUAUCACUGUUUGAUUUGUGCACACAAGGAUGUGUGGUGCAUUUGUGAUUUUUUUUUCUUUAACAUAAUACUAGUAUAAAAGAUUUGCUCUAAUGUGCAGUGCAUUUUACUGUGAUGUUUGCUUUUUUAGCACAACAUUAAUACUUUACAAAAGUCUUGUUUGAACAUAGCAGGUGUAAUUCCAGAUUGGGAGUGGUUGCAGGCCCCCACAGUAUGCAUGCUGUGUGGACAGCAUGCCUGUGUGGAGCUGGGAGUCUCUGGUUCAUGUCACUCUGGAGCAGGGGCUGCUCUAGCACAAAGAAGGUUUUGAAAGGCAAAGGCAGAGCCAGAGUCAGGGCAGGCUCUGGGCAGGCUCCAAGAGAGCCAGCAGCAACCCUCUGCUGAAGGGUGCCCUGAACUCCAUCGUACAGGCGAGCACCUCCUGUGAAGUGAGAUUGCUACACAAGUCUCGUCAUUACAGAAUUUUGAGUGGAGUGAUUCUGAAAGAAAAGAAUGAGAAUGGUGUGUUCUAUUGCGCCUCAUUAAAUAUUGAAGUUUUUAUGUAAUUUUCCUUCAUUUCAGGUAAUCUCUAAUUUGUUGAAUGAAGAAUGACAACAGUUCAUCUUUCAGUUCAUUUGUCUCUCUAUUGAUCUAAUUGAAUGUUUUCUAAACACAUUUACUUUUAAAUUUAACUUAGAUCCCAUUCUAUAACCACAUUUCAUAUUGCCAAAACUCUGCAUUGGGGAGGGCCGAGUUAUCUUCACCAUUGAAAUAGGUCUGCUUUGGAGCCUGUUUGGCUCUGUCUGUUCUGUGGAAAUGACACAAUGUUGACCUAAGAGGGGCCCUCACUUCUCCCUACUGAGUCCCCAUGGUUGGAAAAGAAGAAGAAGCCGUGAGCCCACCCCCAGACCUGCCCACUCGGGACAUGCCCACAAGCCCAUGCUGGGCUUGUCUAUGGACUCUGCCCUUGGCAUCCCUGUUGCCCACCUGGGCUCUGGCAGAGAAGUUGGGCGGGAAGAGGCCAGCCGAGUACCCGCCAGUAUAAGAGGAAACGGAGAGAAACAGCUCCAGUCAGCCCCAGAAGGGAGGCCUGGAAAAACUCUGCAGCUGGAGCAAACACAAAGGACUUUUCAGAUCCUGCAGUCAAGGUGCCCAGUGCUUUUUUUUUUUUUUUUUAUUAAUACAGCUAUUAGGGUGACAAGCCUUUCGAAAGGCCAGCAGUUGGCGAGAGUUUCCAGGAAGCUGGUCUGGCAUGGGGCUGGGAUCAUAGCAACUUUUAAUGAGUGAAGUUCAGAAGGAAGGAGUCAUCAGGAAAGGUUUAAGGUUCAACAAACUUUUUGAAUUAUUUUGCAAAAAAGUUCUGGCUUUCCAAUUCAAAGGCAUGUUUCCCUGUGAUGGUUUUAAGCCAGAGCUUAUUUCAAAGGCAACGCAGACUGCACGUUUCUAAUUCAUUCCCUGGAGAUAUUUGCCUAAUCCUAGAGACAAGCUUUGCAAGUGCCAUUCAGUGCCUGGAGACACUAGAGCCAUCUUACUAUCUUUUCAAGCAGCCAUCCACCCACGUGUCUCUCCCCUCUACCAGUUUCUGUGGUUAGGAGUACACACAUGCACACACCUUCCCUAAGCAGGAAGCUGCUCUUUGCCAAAAGUGAAUGGAAUUCAGAUUUCCAGAGGGUAUCCUUGGUCUCCAGCUCCAACAGCCAUCUGACGAAGAAAGAUGCUAGUGUGCGCUGGGGCUGCGAGAGAGGGGCUUCCGUGUCCAUUCAAAUCUUUCUGGGCCCCAAGAAAAACCAACAACUGGCUGUGCUCUCCCUAGCCCCACCCAACCUCAGUCACAUUCCUUCCCUUCCUGAGCCCACCCUGGGUGGCCCCACAAACCAGCUUCCACUCCUCCCUUCCCACCAGUGGGGAGACCUAACUCAUGUCCUCAUCGCGCAGCCAACAGUGAAAAUGAAGGUCAUGCUGCAAGCCCCAAACAGCUUAAAAGCAGAGAGGGGUCCUCCCCUAUGUCUGUUCUCACCCCAGUCAGACUCUUCCUUUUUUGUCUGUCUAGCAGCCCCUAGGACUAAGCUUUUAUACCUUCUUGUGCUUGCUUCCAGGAAAUCCUAGCCUACUUCUGCCUGUAACAUUCUUGGGCCUGGAAAUGAAGAGGCUGCUGUUCGGGCUGCUGUAGCCCUUUGCUACUAGAACUUUCCAAUAUAUCAGGGAUCUCUGUCCCUACCUAAGCCUUCCAAGCCCCAGGAUCCAGCAUCCCCAGGAGUUGUAUAUUUAUAAAUGCUGGUGUGGUUUUGAUAAUGAGUUACAGUAAGUGAUCAGCAGUGACAAGGUAGACUGGCUGGUCCUAAGCCUAAGUUACUGGGAUUUGUACUUGUCCAGACAGGGAGGGAACAUGUGGAGACCCUUCUUUCAGCCAUCAGAAUGAAUAAGUGACUAUGGUGGACAUUUUGGUUCUAUGCUCAGCAAGGCCUAAUAUUUAGAGCAGAGGCUCAGCUCAAAGGCUGUUCCUGUUGAUUUUGAAUGAGACUUUUUUUUUUUAAGAUUUAUUUAUUUAUUAUAUGUAAAUACACUGUAGCUGUCUUCAGAUGCACCAGAAGAGGGCAUCCGAUCUCAUUAUGGGUGAGCAACCAUGUGGUUGCUGGGAUUUGAACUCAUGACCUUCUGAAGAGCAGUCAGUGCUCUUCCCCACUGAGCCAUCUCACCAGCCCUCGAAUGAGACUCUUUUCAAUGCCAUAGUCUGCUGGGAGGCAGGAUUAUUUCUCCUGAGAUCAAUGCUGGAGGUAAUUGAGGCUUUGCCAUCUGGGCAUUGCUACCUCACCUGGUUCUAGAUGCCACAAGAUGCUCAGCUUGUCUAAUUACAGUUGACUAUCACUUCUGUCUAUGGCUCUAAGGCCCAGUCUGAUCCUCUUGCUUGGUCAAAAAUAGGGUUGAACCAAUAGGGGUUUUCUGGGUAUUCUGUAAAGUGUUGUUAUGGUUGUACUGGCCAACUUUACUCUCUUUCCUUAGCUAAUCUCAGAUCUCAUCUUUAAGUAUCUGCAUCCUACCUCAACUCUAUCAACUUUUUCCUGGCAGAGCCUUUAGUGGUCUUGUCCUCAUCACCCUGGAGGAUCUUCCUGUUCCAGUCCUAGGUUUUGACUGUGGUGCUUAAGAAAAUGCCCCAGGUAGCUAGCAGUAAUGCAGCCAUUUUUGAUCUAGUCCUGCUGGAGGUGACUGACAGAACUGCAUACAGAGGAGAUAGGUCCCAUCAGCAAAUCAGAACAUAGGAGUAAGGAUUGGGCCUGCUUUCUGGUUCUGGUUAUGCGGUUACAUGGCCUUAUAUUCUCUUGUCUUUCCAUUGUAUGACACCUCCAAGGAUGUUGUAACCCAAACCCAGACCACAUAGUCUGCUGAGAUACUGUGAUGGGGCCAUUGCCCAUUGGUGAGACAGUCUGGUAAAGAAAAGCCUGGUAGCAUGGAGUAUGCAGAACCUUAGGGAAGAAUAUCUUGUCUCUUUGAGGCAGAGCUCAUGUAGCUCAGUUUGUUCUCAAGCUCACUGUAACUGAAGAUGACUUUGAACUUCUGAUCUUUCUGCCUGUAGCUCCUGAGUGCUGGGAUUACGGAUGUGUACAACUAGACCUAGUUUAUGCAGUGCUGGGGGUCAAACCUAGGGCUUCAUAAAUGAUAAGUUAGCAGCUCUCUAACUGCUAAAUCUCAUCCCCAGAGGGAAGAAUAUCUUAAGUGAAGCCCUGAGUCUCUGGGGUGGACUGCUUUACCCCUCCCCUUCUGCCUAUAGCAUGCUAAGUUCAGUCAGGCCUAGAGCAUUACUCCACUGAAGGUCACUCAUGCCGUCCCCCCCCCCCCAACCCCCAGGCAUCUGCAUCUGGAGCCCACACUCCCAGCUGGUAGAGUUUAUAGGGUAGGUUUUUGUUUUCUGAAAAAGACCAUUUCAGUGUUUUGGAUUAGCAGAGUUUCAAUUUAAUUUAAUAAAUCCAAGCUGGGUGGUGGUGGCAUAUGCCUUUAAUCCUAGCCUUUUAAACUGCCAGGAGGCAGAGGCAGGCAGGUUUCUGAGGCCAACCUGCCCUACAGAGUGAGUGUUCCAGGACAGCCAAGGCUACACAGAGAAACCCUGCCUCUAAAAACAAACAAACAAAACCAUCAAACAAACAAACUAACUCACUCACUCACUAACUCUAUAUACAAACCUGAGGGAAAUAAAGGCCUACCUAUGUCCAAAACAUGCAGGAGGGAGAAUUAGGCAAGAGAAAAAGAUCUUGGGGCAGAGGGCAGGGUGUGGGCUCACACAGAUGGCCUAAGUGUAGUCAAGGCCAGGGCAAGGGGACAGGCCCAGAACAAAUGAGCACUUUAAGUCCCAAUAUGACCUGCAUCUUACCAUUUUCACUUCAGGUACAGAGACCAGCUGCCUAGGAAUUAAUGGUGGGGCCCAGAGGACAGCUGCUUAGUGCUACCUACCUCAAUGAACCUAAUUCUCUUGGGGCAGCAAGUUUAGGCCAUAAAGCAGGAUAGGUAGAUUCCCUUAGGUAAGAACCCUGUCUGAGAGUGAGUAUGUGUUUGUAGAGAGCUCUGUGUUCUCUUUAAGCUUCACCUUUCAUCCUUCUUACCUGCCUACAACUAACUCCACAACACAAAUAUCUCCUUACUACUAUGCAAAAGCAGCCUCAUUUCUACCUCAGUUCUCCAGUUGGAUACCACAUGCCACCAGAGUUAUACUUAGAGUUUGAUUUUAUAUGAGGGCUUACAGCCAGAGUCCUCAGAGAAAAGCCAGGUAGAAUAAAAUUUAUCUCUGAAAACAUCUUAAAGUGCACCCCUUCCCAGUAAUCUCUCUCAGAGCCCUCUGAUUUCUCCCUUCUUAGUUGCUCUCAUGUCCCUAAAGUAGAAGAAGCUCUCAGGGGGACGCCAAUUGUCUCUGAACUUCUGUGGCUAUAGCCACGUGUGUGGAAAGAUAACUUAGGCAGAAAAUCUAAGCAGAUAGUGAGGCCAGAGUUAUGGAGUAGAGAUGCUUGGCUGAGUAGAGACUUAGACUAGACCCCUUUCUACUUCCCCCCAUUCUCUUCCUCUUCCAUGUUUCCAAGAUGUCACCCAGGUCUCCCAUAGAUCCAACCAUGGGCUCAUAGUCAGAACUCUGCUAACCAGUCAUUGCUAAGGAGAUGUGACUUCUGCCAAGGACACCUGAACUAUCCUAAAAGGGAUACAAAUAUAGGCAUAAAUGCAGAGUUGGACACCAUGAGAAGCUUAGGAGGAAAGGGCAUCCUAGUUCCUAGUCUGUGAGAUCUAGAGAGGUGCCCAGAGUGGCCUGAAGGCCAGUGAAGGCUCCUGGCUUCCUUAUAUGGCCAUGUCAGUCAUGGUAUACUGAGGCUGAAUUCACAGAAUUUUCAUGAUAGAAGGUGAUCAGAUGACCAGUGCCCAAACCCACCAUGGACUGUUCAAAUCUACCAAUGAUCAUAGAUUCUCACGUAUUACUAAGAGUGCCAACUUACUCUCGGGACUUCAACCUGACUUUCACCAAUGGAGACAUAGGCCUCCAGUGAGAGUGUGUUCCAGAAUGAGCCUGGUUCUGCCAGUAUCUCUUGUGUGAUAGUAGUGAGUCUCUGCCCUUCAUGAAUCUUUAGCUUCUCCUUUUGUGAAGCUGACCACUGACCCACUAAGAGUUCUUCAGCUUACAGGGAUAUACAUUAUGUAUGUCAGCUAACUAUACAUCACCAGCUCUAGCACCAAAAGUGCGACACAAGCUAGCUUAUCCUUAGCACGGAAAGCUACUUUGUAAAUACUGUAGUUACAUUUGGGUUUCUCUUUCCAACAGAGAGCCUGCUUCCUAUCACUUGCAGGGCCAAAGGAAGGCAGAGUACAUAACUUACCCCUCUCCUUAAUCUGUCUGAAGGUAGGUGCUUGAGUUAGCAAGUCAGCCUAAUGAUGAUGGGACCAAAUGGUUGAAGCACACAGAGGCACCUGUAACUGCCAGAGGCACAGCCCUCUGAUCCCAUGUCCAACUUCCUCAGCAGAAUUAUGGGUGUUAAUCCCCCUGCUUGUACCUCUAUUUACUGGAGUCAGAACAGCUCACAAGCCCCCUUUCCAGCUACUUCAGGCUUUAGUCAGGACUUGUAGCCUUCCCCUGCUGCUACCAUACUCCAGAUCAUCCUGGAGCUCAGUACUCUUAAGUCUAAUGUUUUCUUGUUUAGGACAACAGUUAGGAUGCAGCUUGACCCAUUUGUAUCCCAUGGAAAAUCAGUACCUAGCAGUUUUUAAAGCUGUCGGGUCAAACAAGCAACAAUUUUAGGGGGUCUCCAGUCACAAAGAGAUACUUUAUACUUUUUCAAGUAGUUCUCCAAAUCAGGUAUAUGGCUGGAUACCUGUCUGCAUCUGCUGAAAUUUAUAUACAAACACAGGAAGAUACAUUCCCAAUGUAUCCCAAUAUAGCUGAUAUACAAGGAGAACUGUAGCUCAUAGACAUUAAGAAAACUGCCUUAGGGUUCUGCGAGCAGGAUUGGAUGACUCAAGCCUGCUAGGGUCUCCUGAAAGGCAGGGUCCAUAGCCAUUGUGAACCCACAGCAAAUGCAAGCUUCCCAGGGUUUCUUGGAAGACAGUGUUCUUAGCCAUUUCGAGCCCUAACCAGAUCAUCAGCAUAUGCAGAAAACUACAGAAACAGUAAGAGGAAAGGAAGGUGACUGAACUAGCUGGAGAACCAAUCAGGCCAUUGUUCCUCAGAGCCCUCAGGGUCAUCACAGAGGACAUUUUCCUAGAAACUGAUGUGUAUAUGUUGAAGCAAAGGCCUUACAGAGCCUGCAGAGCCAGCCAUGUGGAAGAACUUUGGGAGCUUGCAUACCCCAGCCCUCAGGACCUACUGGUAAACGGCAAUGAUAAUGAAAGGAUAACACACUCGCCAAAGAGAACAGCCUGAAAGCUGACCAGUUGAACAGAGGAGAGUCCAGAGACGAACAAUAUGCCAACAGUGAGCUGAUUUAUAGUGACACUGAUAUAGCAGGGCGGUGGGAGAAGGAUGGUGCUGUAUAAGCCUGGAUGUCCAAGUGGAGAAAAAAGCUUAUCUUGACCUUGACUUCACACAGGACACAAAAAUCAAUUCCAGAUGUACUGCAGAUCUACAUGUGAAAGGUGAGCUUUUAAAGCUUUAGAACAAACCAGAAUAUCUUUAUGACCUUGGAGUAGUCAAAGUUUCUUAAGUAGGACAUAAACAGCACUAUCCAGAGAGGAAAUGUUUGAUUAACUGGACCAUGUUAAAAUUAAGACCUUCUGUUCAUCAAAAGACACCAAGAAGGGGCAGGACAGCCCGCAAAUGGGGCAGUAUUUACAAUACAUGUAUCUGUGUAUCUGACAAAUGACUCACACUUUAGAACACCCAGGACAGAGAGAGAUAAAAUUGUGCCUGAAGAAGAACAGUUCUCAGUAUAAGAUAUAGAUGUCUUACGAACUAUAGAUGUGAAGAAAUGAGAAUAUAGAAUGGGGCUCAGCUUACUGCAAAUUACCGAUACCAUUUUGAUGCUACGAGAAGCCAGGAUGGCUAAAAAGGAAAUGGUGAAAAAUUCCAAGUGUGUGUGAGGAUGUGGAAAAAGGUGGAAUAUUCACAUGCUACCAAGCAGGGGUAAAAGUUGGGGUGACUGCCAUGGGAAAUGGCCGGUCCCUUAGUGACUCAGUAUUUCUAUCCUAAGCAUACAAUUAGCCGAGAUAGCCAUAACUUCACCAAACACAUAUGUAGAAUGUUCUUAGUAAUUCACUACCAAGACCUUGCCAAUGGUCAUGGGUAGUAGAAUGAAUGAGCAAAUCACAGGCUACACAGAGCAGGGUGCCAACAAUCAAAAGGAUCCCGAGAUCACUGUAUUCUUCAGCCUCACAGAGGGGUUCUCAGACAUCAGAGUGAAUGAAAGUGCCAGAUACACGAAUGGAUGUGUGUGAUAUAGCCAUGUAGAUUUCAAAUAUAGGCAAAGAUGCUGGAAAGAGAGCUUUGGUUGUUCUUGGUGUGUCAGUGAUAGGAAAUGGAAUCCAGGGGACUUCCUGGGGAUUCGAUUUCUUUCUUUGAAUGUUUAGCUCUCACGUAGGGAGAAUGUAUUAAGUUUGUACUGGAAACCUGUGUACUUUACUCUUUUGGUGUGUUUCCUUUCUACUAUAUGUAAGUUUAUAACAAUGCCCUGUAGAAGAUGGUAUUUUCUGAGCUUUACUGGAGAUAUAAUUAGGUACAAGCCCAGGCGGACUGGCCUUGCUGCCACCUUGUUUCAAAGGAUAAAUUACUCCAGUACCCUGACGAGUAGCCCCUAUAGUUCAGUUUCCACUCCCAGCUCUAGGCAAAGUACACAGGAGAUUUGUUUUUUUUGGGGGGGGGGCUCUCUUUGUUUUUCGGAGUACCUUUCUUUUAUGGUAUCAAUGUAGUAUGUCCCGCACAUUACUCUCCCUGGCCUCUCCCUCAGAACAAUUCUAGGAGGUUGCUGCAUCCCUUUUCAUGUGCUUAGAUGAAGGAAGUGAAACUAGGAAAGGUUAGGGGCACUGGGGGCUGCCUGUAGCUGGGCCAGUGCAGGCUGGGAGCCAGAUUGAGGGCAUUCGAUUCCAGUCCCUCUCUUUCCCACUGAACCACUCCGCCUCGCUUUUAAUUUAAUUAGGAGAACAUUUAAUCCCCCGUGCAUUUCAGAGACGGGUUUGAGCCUGGCCGGGGCCUUGUGGGGCUCUGACAGGGAUCCUGUGACUCAUACAGCCUUGCACAGCCCUCCCGGGAGGGCUCCCUUGGGGCUUCUUUGGCACCUUGUGCAGACAGAGGUGGUCUGGAGAUUCACAGAGGACAGGACACUAGUCUAGGAAGACAAACUGGUCUCAUCUGUUCUUGACAAGCCCCCUUCCCUAUACUCCUGGACACUGCCCCCCAACAUGGCCCCUUCGUUUUCUUCCAUCAUCAUUUGCAGGUGAGGAGCCAAAUAAGAAAUGGGUGCUCACUGAGGUGCCACAGCAGGCCCUGAUUGUCUCCAGGCCCUGAAUAUCCCAGGCAAAGCAUUCCCAUCAGAAGAGCUAGCCCCUUGGUCCACUAAUGCUCCCCUUUCCAGAAGGCAUAGGCUGGCCCCAGCCUCGCUGACAAAUGCAGAAUUCAGGAGACAUUAGUAGUGAUGUGGACAAAAGCCAGGCCACAGCGGGCCUCCCUGGAAAAGAGAAACUUGAACGUCUUGGCGUGAGAUUCUGCAGGGUCCAGGAGAAAGUUGAAGACAUGGAAAUUCUAAUUAACGCACGCGGGGCUGCUUUUGCUCAAAGAUUUUUGAAGCUGUCAUGUCACAAGAGGCCCGGCAAGCACAUGCUCGCCCGGGAGGUGCUUUUGGGCACCUGGUGGGAUUCUUGCAAUGCCCUAGCCUGUAUUCUUACUUUCCCUCUGUCCUCUAGACUUUCCUCUACCCAUCUUGGUGAACUGGGUGGCCCCUGAAUGUCAAUCCCAGAGUGGGAUGACAGGCUGGUUAGUAAAUGUUGAGACUUCCAGUUGAAAAUGUCACAACCAAAAAGUCAGAGGGCUCAGGAACCAACCUCUUUGGAAGAAACCUUCAGGGAAAUCACAUGGCAAAGCCAGGCUGAGCUAUAGGCUGCCGUGCUUAUGGUAGGCUUGGCCUUUGGAGAUGUUCAUCUUGGAUAUCCUGUGCAACAGAUGGGGCAACAGUUCCAGACAAGUUCUGAUGGGUUCGUCAGCUGGAGGGUGGGGUGAAGUGGCUGUAGGAGAAGCUCACUGAAGUCAAACCCAGAAAUGCUUCUUUAGCUUUGAGCUAUAGGUGCUCAUGUUCUGGGCCCUAUGUCUCAACAUCUAUGGGAGGUACCUGGAGACCUUGCUUCAUUUUAGGCAAGGCUAAUCAUGUGCUUUCUGUGUCAGAGUAGGGUUCUUUCAUCCUGGAAUUUUGGGGAAUGCUAGAAAAGGAGUGGCCAUGAACAGCCACAACACUCUGCGCCUUGCCUGACCCAGGCUAGAAUCAGGGAGCCUUGACGAUAGCCUCAAGAGGAUGUGAGAGGCAUCACUGGGGAAAGGGAGGGACUGAGUAGACACUGGAAAGUUGUGUGCAAUUCUGAUGACCACAGGACUGACAAGGGCAUUCCAGCUGGUGGGAUACACACGAGCCCUUGUCAGCUAACCCCAGUAUGCAGAAUCCUGGAGACCUGUCCUAACUAUUAGCUGUAAAGAUAACCCCCCAUCUCUUGUGGCAGUAGGUCUCGAUUUCCUACGUGGUCCUCAGAAGCCUGGAACAAAGCUUUGGACAGAGGAUUCAUAUUGAAGGAGCUUGAGGAGUAUGGGGCUCUCUUCCAAUGAUGUUAGAACCAGGAAGACAGCAUCUGACUGAAAUAUGUAUGAAAGGCUGAGGCGCAGCUGCCCAGAGCUGGACAAGGCCUAGGGCUUACGUGAGGAGCUGCUGGUGUGUGCCUGUUGAGCUGGGGUCAGAGAGGCUAUAUUGUGUCCUCAGCAUCCUUCCCUGUUUACCAGCAGCAAUCUGGUUUUUAAUAGGCCUGCCUGCACCUUGGCCUCUCUGUCCCCAAACUAUCAGUGGCCAACAGGCUCUGAAAAGAGAAGCUUCACCCAGCCCCAGGGACCUUCCCAUAAUCAAGGCUACAGUGACCUCACCUCCCUAGGGCCCCUGGGCGGGGAGAGCUUGAGAUGGAAACAAAAUGUGUCUUUAUUUAUGCUUUUAAUUUGAAUUCUGGAACUGGCCCAGCAUGGUAAUACAUUUAACAUCAGUAAAAUGUUGAAGAAAAAUGGAUCUGUUUUUCUGCAACUGCUUCCCACCCACUCUGCCCCCUGCAAGACCCUAGUACAUAUCUCUGUCUUUGGUAGACACGUAUCAGGGUGUGUGCCUCUUUUUUCGGUAUAGGUUCAUGGGGCUAGUUGCCCACGGGAGCCAUGCUGCAUCAGUGAGCUGCUGGAGCCUAGCUUAAUUACGGACAUCAAUCAACAGGCUGACUGUGCAAGAGGCAAAGGAAUGCAGCUCUGGUGUGGGCAUGUGGGCCCCUUACACAGUACCCACUAAGGCCUAUCUGCUCUCCUAGAAUGGGGAGGGGUCUUGGUAAGGGCAGUAGUCCUGGGAGCACAUAGGGUUCUAGGACCCAGACACACCUCUUUGCUAGGACUUCCAGCAAGGAUGCCACUAGACUUCUACAGAUGUGGAUGUCUAGAUUCUUAGAUGCCUCAACCUUGACCCCAACUCUGCUUUGACCAGAUCAUAUUUUUUUGCUUAAGCCUGUGAUCUAUCUCAGUCUCUACCUUAGGUCUUUUCACUCAGCACUACCAUGGGCUCCUUCUUUCCCACCUUCCCACCUUCCUUGGUUGGCUCAUUCCUAGCUGCUGCAUUUGGAAUACAUUGGCCUAGAAAGGGUCUUGGUGUGUUCCUGGGUAGAGCCUUGACUGUAUAAAGACUGUCCACCUACUCAGGUUUCAGGAGUGCUGGCCUGAGAAGAGCUCUGGUACCUGGAAAGAUGGUGACAGACUAGGUCUUAUAGCAGCCAAGAAAGCAUCAUUCAUGCCUCUGAGGCUCUGUUACCUCAUUGUGGAUCAGAAUUGGCCUAGUACUCUGAGCGGUGUUGUCUUAUUGGCUUAGGGCUGCUUCUGGAACAGAUAGACAGUGAAUGUCUGGCCACAGGAGGUUUGAGUAUACUAAUACCAGCACAGGUGGCUUUUUGUUCCCAAAGGUGUGGUUUCUAGGGCAUCUGUGGACUGAACUAUGGGCAUGUAUCACCAGUCUCCACCCUCACUUGGGACCCCGUUAGUGCUUUUACUUCAGAAAACUCAACAGUAGGUAGAAGAUGCGAGACACAUCUGUCCAUCUCGGUAGAUGGUUUCUUGAGAGAGAGCACUACUCUCUUGGUGCUGCAGCUGCUUUUGUAUCUGGAGGCUGCUCCAUGGCCAGAAGAAUAAAACAGAGUGGGUACCAAUGAGAGGUGAGUGACUGGGGGGAUAAGGAGGCUGACUAGCCUUUCCAGGCUUAGGCGAUUCCCUGGGGCCUGCUGUGGUUGCCAUGGUGCUCCUUACUAUCCCUACCCCUAAGCAGGCACUGGCAUAUCGCAUACAACCCUAGCCACCAGACACCAGCGUUUACACUUGGAGUUGUCUCGUGUUCUGGACUUGAUGGAGAGACUUAACCAUAGCGUACCCUCUGACACCAGCCUAUACCUGCCUAGCCUGUCUGGACUCCUACUCACAACCUCUGUUCCUGCCUACUAAUGUAGCCAGCCUGUAAGGCUAUCUUAGGAGGGAGAGUGACCCCCUGCUUCUCAGUAAGGUUCUGGCUCUCUCUGAACCCAUGAACCCUCUCUACAUCUUACAAACUAUGAGACACUGCUAACCUCCUUUGAGUUUGGAUGGCUUGGGAAGAUAGUGGGCAUGCCUUGUUUGAUCAUUAUCAUUCCUCUGACAAGCCUGCCUUCCUUCCCCCAGGGUGGCCUCAACUUGGCUAUCUGGUUACUUAAGAAGCCCUCAGCACUGUGAGUCCCAGUUUCUUCAGUCAAUGUAAAGUCAAGCCUGAAAUCUAGGCAUAGGCCAGAAGCAUUAUGACCAAGCACACAAGGUUAAGGACAUAAAUUUUAGUAGAAAGAGUAGAAGUGUCUCAGCAUGUGAAUCUCAGGAGAGCUAAGAGAAUGGCAUUAACAUCCUAACACAAAGACACUUUUCCAGGGGAGUACCCAGUGGAGCAGUGGUCAGAAGGGGUCUGCAUGACCUGCCCCUACUACAUCUCUGCCUCUACUGGGUUUUUGUAGGAACAUAUGAGUCACAUGUUGCAGAGAAAUCAUGGCAUGGCUGAGUACUGGGGAUUGGCCUGGUGAUGCCGUGAUGGGGGCCCAAAUUGGGGGUGGGGGGGAGAGGAUGGGCAUUUGUCCCAGGCCAGCUGUGCUUCAGAAGAAGGCCAACUGGAAGGCAUAGAAAAUCAGCCAUUUCCUCCACCUGAAGGAGCCCCUGAGGACAGUAGUGGCAACUGGCAGGCGGCACCCGGCAUCUGCCCCAUGGCUUUGGCCAAAGUUCCACAGGGAAAUGCUAGAAAAUAAAGUUAACUCUCUUGAAGGAGUGGUGGAGGGGUUUAGGGGAGGGAAAAAAAAAAAAACAACCGAGUUUCUCAGACGCUCAAAGCAUGCAAACAAGUGGAAAAUGAUCAGUCUGGUUUUCCAUAAGUCAAAACAAGAGGAUCAUGUUUCCAAAUUCGGUGGGAAAGCCCCUGCCCUUCUCUCCUGCCUGAGCCCUGAGGCCAGCCCUAGCAGCCAGUGUCCCCAGGUUCAUAAGGACAGGCAGUGAGUUCUGGGUACUGGGUAAAUAGACUGCAUCCCAGCAAGAGUUCAAGCUUUGCCCUAUGCUAGGGCAAUACCCUUGAACCCCAGCCUUGGUGGGCAAAUGAACACUCACUGUGACACAUGGGUGAUGGGGGUCAGCAGUGUCUCCCCUUCCAGGUCCAGGUCCUCAGCAAAGCUGUUUGUUCUCAAGAAAUGGGGUGUGCUUACUUCCAGCAGUGUAGGGCUCUUCCUUACUGUGAAGAAGGUAUGGGACAGCUCAUUAGGCUUCAGUAGAAACUUGAUCAUGAAGGGGCUCCAGAACGGGACAGAACUAGACUCAAAUGUCCACCCCAACCUGAUAAUGCUAUGGGAUAAACCUAUGAGCUCUCAAGACCAGGUGAAGAGUGAGGACAGAGCUUACAAGUUUCAGCCUUACGCAUCAGGUUGGUUUACGCUGAGUGGAACAAGUGAAUGGGCAUUCAAAUUGGUCCCCAGGUACCCAGGGGCUCAGCCUCCCAAGGUAAAUCAUAAAGGCUGGUACAUUCUCCCCAGUGUGGUAGAUGCCCUACGGCUGAGUUCCAGAACUGAGUGAGGUCCUCCACUAUGUUAGGUUUUGGGCCUCUCACCAGCUUCACAUAAAACAUUUGUGCCAAGAACAAAUGAAAGCACUAAUCCCCAGUACUGUGCUAUUCACACACAUACACUGACAGAUGAGUGGGCCAGGCAACAAAGGGUGCUAGUACCUCUGCCUACCAGGAAUCACAAGCUGAGUUCCUUGUUCUGGCUGCGAUGCCAUAUUAGCCAGAUUCUCUAUGAGGGAGGCCUCCAGACCAUCCCAAUAGCUGACUUCCAUAGCUCAGGAGACUGAUCCAGAUCAGUCUUCACAGUACUUCCAGCUUAGUAGUGUUUGCUCUCAACUUACUUCUCCUUUAAAGUGUUUAAUGUAGAAGUAUUAAGUACUUCUGAUGAGUGGAAUAUUGAAAAAUUCACAAUUUUUGGUCCUCAAUUAUAGUAGUCAUCUGCUGGCCGGGUCCCUGCCUUAUGCCUGGGUAGCAUCAUGGGUAGCACAAAUGUGAUGUCAUAAACUCAGACAAACUUCUGUUCUUGUCAGUUUUUCUUAUUCUGUGACAUUCUUUUCUUCAGGUCUGCAGCUAUGCAUCUAAUGAUCAUUUUAGCAGCACGAGCUCAUAGCUUAGGUCUACCACAAUUAACUUACUCAUCCCAUAUUUUAUGGACAUUCAGUCUUGUAGUUUUAUGACAAUCAGACAGUGAUGUAAUAUCCAUCUUUAUUGUUAAAAGUUGCUGACACACUGGGCAGGUGAGAUGGCGUGACUUUGGUAAUAUUAAUAAGUGCUUUUGGAUUAUUCUUCUGUUAAGUUGUAGCCAACUAUUCUUUCCCUUCAAUUUUGCCUGGCCUUUCAAGCAUGGAUAAAAACUGAGGUUUUCUCAUUUUCAUACUGUUUUUAGUUCUUUAAGAAAAUGAUCAAUGAACUUUGAUCCCCACCCCCUUCCUAACUUCCCAAUUUUGUAUCCGCUUGUUUUAAAAUUUAAUAAUCCAUUAACUUCAGUUUGUGGUCUCUGUGUCCUUCUGGGUGUGGACUGUAUAUGGAGUAUGAUUGGCCCACCAGGAGUUAGAUGGUAAGGAAAAACUGACUCUCCCUCCCCAGGAGCCAUUAUCUGUCCGUAGCUUAUCAAGAACCUCUUGGGGUUCAUGAACUUCUUGUACUCAGUGAUACAGGGUUGACUGGCCUGAUCUUGUGUAGGCAAUCAUGCAGCUGUCCUAUCACACCCAGAAGUUAGUUUGUUCUCCUAUUGCUGGCUCAUAUAGUGUCCCUCUACCACCACCUCCUUUUACAAUGGCCCCGGGCCUGGGGUAGGGGAUGGCUUUCUCAUUUUCAUCUUCACUGACUGUUUCUGGCUUGUUUGGGAUUCUUCUUGCAGAAUUGCCCAUUCAUAACCUUUGCUUAGCAUUUCAAAGGAACUUUUAAUUCAUUAGAGAUAAUAACCUUGUGAUACACGAAGCAUAAAUAACUUUCUUAGUCUAUGUUUGGCUUUUUAACACUGAGUUGUUUUAUCAUAAAGACUGUCUUGCUUUUUUAUAGUGAUACAUUUACUUUAUGGAAUGGGUUUCCCACAUCUACAACAACAGUCUUUUACAUUUAUUUCCAAUAUAAACAUACAAAUAUGGGCAUAGAUCUGUAUGUGCGUAUAAAUUUUAACACAUUUAGCAUCUGUGUGUAAUGCAAAGGAUGUUUAGCAGUCAUAAAAUGGAAAUUCAAGAACACUAUAUAUAGUCUUACUUUUUAAAAAAAUCUGAAAUAGAACAUAAAACUAAAAAAAAAAUUAAGAAAACUUCAAAAUCUCUAAGACUUUAGAUUUGAAAGUGAAUUGAGAUACAACAUCAAAAAUGUAAUCCAAAAGGGGGGGGGAGGAUCAACUUUAUUAUAAUUAGAAACAAAUGAGUUAUUCCUGCAACAAGUGCAUUUUGCUAAAUAGCAACAGAAGCAAGGAAAAACAGGUUAACUGACUGUUAAAAUGCUUUGCUUUGUGAAGACAAUGAGACAAAUCACAGAUUUACUGCACGUCACUUAUGGAAUCAAGGACAUCGUACCCAGAGUAUAUAAAGAAGAAUGAUCAUAAUUUGACAACAGUGGAGCAAACAACCCAUCUUAAAAAGUGGAUUACAAAUAAGCAUGUGAAAUUGUAUACAGCCAAUCCAUGGUCUUUAUGGAAAUACGAUAUUAAAGCUUCAGUGAGCUAACCCUGAAAAUUAUCAUGAAGAUGGAUAAAGCAUAAAAUUAAAAUCUUGUAAACAGCAAGCCCUCCAAGGAGGUAGAGUCCGCAACCUUCAUGUGCUAGAGGUGGGAAUGCAAAGUGGCCCAACUGCUCUGAAGAACAAAUUUCAUAGUCUUAAACACACAUAUGGUCUAUGACUCAGGGUAUGGAAUAUUUAAGUUCACACAAAUCUGCACACAAAGAUAUACGGCAAUUUCACCUCUAGUUGCAACAAACAAGUUAUAACCAAGAUGCCAACAGUUAAAUGAAUAAAGUAAUCAUGGUGUCUCUGUUCCACCUAUGCAGUGGAAUCCAGCAACCAACUGGAAUACUGGAGGUCCCUGGGACAGAUAAUAGACUACGGUGAGUAGAUUGUGUGUUGCAAAUACAUGAUAGAGCACUGAAAAGAGAAGAUGUGUGUGUGUGUGUGGGGGGGGACUGGCUAAAGUUGAUUUUAAAAAUAAUGUUUGGACUAAAGAAAAACUAAAAGCUGGAGAAAAAAUACUGACAUAAACACAAUAUUCUUGUAGAUGAUUUUGUUUCCUACAGGGGUUCUACAUAUUGAGGAUUAUACAAACCAGUAUCUAUACUAGAAAAUGGGAGCUGAGGACAAAGUAAGGAUAAUCGGAAACAGUAUAAACAGUAUAAACUCAAGCAGGUAUCACAUUCCAAACAACCUAAUCACCAGUAAUUAAUGCUGUAUAUGUAAGACAAUACAGUAUGCAACAUUAAUAUGCCAAAUCCAAGAAUAUCACAACUCUCCAGUGUUGUGGGACAUUAAAAACUAAGGUAAGUGAUCACAAGCAUGAUCAUAUCACCAGACAGAAAUAUACAUCUGACAAAAAUCUUGACCAACUCAUGGUAAGACCAACUACUCUGGAACAUUAAACCUCAGGUAAGUAACCACAAGAAAUAAAAAGAACUUUCAUGAUUAUAUCACUGAAUACAAAUGAGUCUGAUAAAAUUCUCUACUGACACAUGAUUUAAAAAACACCCUUGGAACAUUAACAACACAGGUAAGUAAUCACAAGAUGAAAAAAUGUUAUAUGACAUGAUUUUAUCACUGAAUACAAUAAUUCAUCUGACAAAAUUCUUUAUUAACUUAUGCUGUUUAGAAAGCCCUUUCGAACACUAAAAACUCAGGUAAGUAAUCACAAGAAGCAAAAAAAGUUACAUGAUUAUAUUAUUGUAAUGCAUCUGAAAAAAUUCUUUACCCAUUUUAAAAAGACCCUCUAGAUCAUUAAAAUCUCAGGUAAAUAAAUGCAAGAAGCAAAAAGAUGGUACAUGACACUAGACACAAAAAUUUGACAACAUUCUUUACCAACUCAUGAUCAAAACAAAAAACCAAAAGCAUUAAAAUCUUAGGUAAGUAAUCAUAAGAAGCCAAAAGAAGUUACAUGAUUACAUCACUGGAUACAAUUGCCAACUCAGGAACAACUCUGCACAUUAAAAACUCAGGUUAGUAAUCAUAAGGUACAAGAAGCAAAAAAAGAAGAAAAGUUACAUGAUUAUAUCACUAGACACAAAAACUCUGACAACAGUAUUCACUAACUCAUGAUAAAAGCAAACAAGAAAACUUCUGGAACAUUAAAACAUUAAAUGCUCACGAGAAGCAAAAAUAAGUUACAUAUCACAGGACACAAAAGUACAUCUGACAAAAUUCUUUAUCAACUUAUGACUUUAAAAAAAGAAAAACAACUCAGGAUCAUUAAAAACUCAGGUAAGUGAUCACAAGACACAAGAAGCAAGAAAGAAGUUACAGAAAUCUGAAAACAUUCUUUACCAACUCAUAAUACAUAACAAAAGCAAAACAAACACACAAACAAACAAGCAAAACAAACCCUCUGGAAUAUUAAAAACUCUGGUAAGUGAUCAUAAGACACAAGAAGGAAAAAUGAAAUUACAUGAUUAUUUCAUCAGACACAGAAACCUGACAUUCUUUAUCAACUCAUAAUUCAAAACAGAAAACAAGCACACACAAAACAUCUGGAACAUCAAAAACUCAGGUUUUUGAUCACAUGAAGCAAAAAGAAGUUGCAUGAUUGUAUUACUGGACACAAAAAUGCAUCUGACAAAAUUCCCUAUCAACUUAAGAUAAAAUAAAACAACUGGAACAUUAAAAACUCAGGUAAGUGAUCACAAGAUACAAGAAGAAAAAAUGUUACAUGAUUACCUUACUAGACACAGAAGCCUGACAAUAUUCUUUACCAACUCAUUAUACAAAACAGAAACAAAACAAACACCAAACCUCUAGAAUAUUAAAAAAAAUAAUCAGGUAAGUGAUUACAAGAAGUUAUAUGAUUAUAUCAGUGGACACAAGCAUGUAUCUGACAAUUUAUUUUUAAUAACUCAUAAUUAAUGAAAAAAAAGAAAAGAAAAUCCAAACAACUCCAGAACAUUAAAAACAAGUUACAUGAUUAUUAUACUAGACAGAGAAAUCUGACCAUAUUUUUUAUCAACUCAUAAUAUAAAAAAGAAACAAGGAAUGGAGAAAUGGCUCAGUUGGUUAAGAGCAGUGACUGCUCUCUUAGAGGUCCUGAGUUCAAUUCCCAGCAACUACAUAGUGGCUUACAACCACCUGUCAUCCAGUGCUCUCUCCUGGUAUGUCUGAAAAGAGUAACAGUAUACUCAUACAUAAAGUAAACAAAUCUUUUAAAAACCGCAAAUAAAAUACAGAAAUCCUCUGGAACAUUAAAAAGGUAAGUAAUCACAAGACACAAAAAGCAAAAAUGAACUUACAUGAUCAUUUCCCUAGACACAGAAACCUGACAACAUUUUCUAUUUACUCACAGCACAAAACAGAAACAAAAAAACAAACCUCUGGAACAUUAAAAAAAAAACCAGGUAAGUGAUCACAUGAAGCAAAAAGAAGUUACAUAGUUAUAUCAAUGGACACAAGCAUGCAUCUGACAAAAGGUUUUAAUCAACUCAUGAUUAAAAAAAACCAAGAACAUUGGAACAUUAAAAUCUUAGAUAAGUGAUCACAAAACACGAUAAGCAAAAGAGUUACAUGAUUAUUUCACUAGAUGCAGAAAUCUGACAACAUUCAUUACCAUCUAAUAAUACAAAACAGAAACAAAAAAAAACCCACACAAACCCUUCGAACACUAAAAACUUUUAAGUGAUCACAAGAUACAAGAAGCAAAAAAGAAAUUACAUGCUUAUUUCACUAGACAAACCUGACAACAUUCUUUACCAACUCAUAAUACAAAACAAGCACGCAAAACAUCUAGAAUAUUAAAACCUCAGGUAAGUGAUCACAAGAAGCAAAAAAGUUGCAUGAUUAUAUCACUGGAUACAAAAGUGCAUCUGACAAAAUUCCCUAUCAACUCAAAAGAAAAAAAAAUCACUAAAGUUUGGUAAAUAACACUUACCAAACAUAAUUGGCAGAAGAAAAAGGCAAGGAUGGUGCUCACCCAGUUUUCAAAAUCUUCUGGAAACAUCCUAAUAGACCAAAAUGAAUGGAACAUAAACUUUAUUUAAAAGGAGCUAAGGUUUUGUUUUAGGUGGCAUUAUUGAUGUAGAUAACAUGAAAGGACACAUAUGUAAAUUUUGUAACUAAUAGCGGCCGCAGCUAGGUUUUAUGACAUUAAGUUAAUAUACAAAACGCAGUCACUUUCCUAUAUGCCAAAAUUUAAUGAGUGGAAUUUGGAACAAAGUACAUUAUUGCAUUGGUAUCAACAGACUAAACAUAGAUAAAAAUAAGUACAGUAUAUUUUCAAUAUUCAAUAUAUUAAAAAAUUCAGUACUGCCAGAUAACCAAUAAUCCAUGCUGAUCCCUACAUUAAAUGCAACCAUAAGCAAACACUAAUAUGUUUUAUCAGUAUUGGAAAAUGGACUAUAAGGCUUCUAUGGAGGAAAAAUGUAGAAUAUGAAACAUAAUAUGAAAUUGACCCAUUUUAAUGCAUUGCUGUAAAGCUUCAGGGAUACAGAAACUAUAUAACCUAUAAAAUAGGUAAUGCAGAUAAAAGGAAAAGGAAAUAGCAUGCCAGAGUCAUCUAAGUUCACAUAAGGGAACAAAAAUAAGAAUGGAGUAGAUAUGUUUUUUCAACAAAUGGUGAUAAAAUAAUGGAUAUCCACAUGGAAAAUGUGAGAAUCUAGAUACAGACUUUGCACCCAAUAAAUAAAAAAUAAGUGAGAAUGGAUCACAGACAAAGAACAUAUUGUAAAAGUAGAAGAGAAUAGAAAACUUCACAUAAUACAGAGCAAAAAAAAAAAAAAAAAAUCCAAACCUUUCAGUGAAGUACUAAGUCAUUUUUAAUUUCUUUUGAUAUUAAGAACAAAACAUGUCAAACUUUUGCCAUUUCUAUUCAACAUAAUGGUGAGUGGUUUAACUGGAUCAAAUGGUUUAGCUAGACAAAUAGAACACAUGCAAAUUGAAAAGGAAGUAAUAAACAUCUGAUCACAUAGGUAGAAAAAGCAAGAUUCCUCAUAAGAUUGUAUAUGGUAAAUUCACCAAAGUAUCAGUGCAACAGAAUAUCAGUAUACAAGUUUCAUACAUACAUUUCUAUUCAUCAAAAGUGGCACUCAAGAGUAGCAUUGACAUGGUUUCUUUUGUGGCAGCACUAUAGAAUCCACAGCUUUGGUGGCUGAGUAACUUUGUAAUUUUUCUUGAUUUCUUAGCUGAUAAAUCUGAAAGGAGACUACAUUGUUUUGCCCUUCCUACAAUGGGAACCACUGUAUCUAACUGAAUCUUGAUUCUUGCACUUAAAAUAGGUCUUAGCUCAUUCAAAUCAGACUGUAGAUCCAAUGGAUGUAUGCCAAAAUCAAAGAACACUGUCCUAAUAUAAUCAGAAAUAGUAAAAAUCUAAAGAAAGCAUGGAUGAUAUCCAUUUAGUAAAAGAAUUUGGCAAAAUGCUUUUAAGCCAUGAGGACCUGAGGGUGAGCCCUUGAUCUCAUGUGAAAAUAUUGUGUAUAUUAGAUGUUUGCAGUCCCAAUGCUGAAAUCGUAGGAAGUGAAUCCAAAGAGCUUAGUGAUUAGUGAUUUGCCAGUCUGGCCUAUUUAGUGACCCAAGUAGAAACUAAAUGGAGUUGGGAAGCAUUUCUGGCUAAUAAAGUAGAGGUUGUUCUCUGACUUAGAACACAUGCAUAUGUACAUAUAUCUUUGGGCAUAAAGAACAAGGUCAUUAUCAAAGAAAUACAGGUCAUGUUCCAAUAACUGAUCCAAAAAAUAAAACAAAUAGAACCAACUUAAAGAAAAGAACCAAAAAAACCAAAACACAAAGUUCCCCAGGCAUAUUAAGUUACUGACUAUUUAAAAUGAGUUAAGAAUAGUCAAACAAUGCUGUGCCGUGGUGGCACACACCUUUAAUCCCAGCACCUGAGAGGCAGAGGCAGGCGGGUUUCUGAGUUCAAGGCCAGCCUGGUCUACAGUAUGAGUUCCAGGACAGGCAGAGCUACAGAGAAACCCUGUCUUGAAAAACCAAAAACAAAAGAAAACAAUAACAAAACCAAAAAGGAAACAAUACAUGAAUGAAUGAGUUUCAAUAAAGCUAUGGAAAGUAAAGCCAAAUUAAUUCUGGAGUUGAAGAUUACAUUGAGAGGAAAAUUAUAAGACUGACUUAAAACCAGAUUGUUCAAUUAAAACUGGAAUCUUUGACCUUGAAAAGGGGACAUUUCAACCAAAUGGAUUUAACAGAUAUCUACAGAACAUUUCAUCUCAAAACAAAAGGAUAUACCUUUUCAGCAAACCAUGAACCUUCUCCAAAAUUGACCAUAUAAUCAGUCACAAAAAGCCUCAGUGGAUACAAGAACAUAGAAAUAAUUGCAUGCAUUCUACCAGAUGACUGACUAAGACUGGACUGCAAUCACAACAAAAACAAAGAAAAGCCCACAUAGUCAUGGAAACUGAACAACUCAAUGAUAACUUGGAGCUGAAAGAAACAAAGGAAUUAAAAGCUUUCUAGAAUCCAGCAAAAAUGAAAAUACAGCAUACCCAGACUUAUGGGACACAAUGAAAGCAGUUUUAAGAGGAAAAUUCAUAGCACUAAGUGCCUUCAUAAAGAAACUGAACUGAUCCUGUAAUAGCAACUUCCUAGCAUACCUGAAAGCUCUAAAACAAAAAGAAACACACCAAAAAGGAGUAGAUGGCAGGAAACAGCCAAACUCAAAAUAGAAAUUGACAAAUUAGCAGCAAAGAAAAUACAAAGAUUCAACAAAACCAAGAGAUGGUUCUUUGAAAAACAAUAUAGAUAAAUUCUUAAGCCAUACUAACUAAAGGGCACAGAGUCAGUAUCCAUAUUGACAAAACCAGAAAUGUAAAAGGGAUCAUAACAGCAACUGAGGAAAUUCAAAGAUAUCAUCAGUUCUUACUACAAAAGCCUAUACUCAACAAAACUAGAAAAUUUAGAUGGAAUGGAUGGAUUUCUAGAAAGAUAUCUAAACCUAAACUCCUAAGAUCCUUAAUCCCUAAGGAAAUAGAAGCAGUCAUUAAAAA